rnacentral:lncRNA from 1 species
CUUAACGAUCGAUUGUGAAUUGAAACUUACUUUCAAUUCUCCCUUUAGUGAUUAUACAUGUUUAGGGCUUCCACAAACCAUGAAUGACACCUAGCAGUAUGUCAUGGUUACCCAAUCUAAUCAGAAGAGGUGGAGAACCUAUUCAGUUUAGGAUUACAAUGCAAUACGGUAUUUCUCUAAUACAAUACUCUUGACCACAUUGUUUGGUUUGAUAGUUUAAUCAUGUCUACUAUCCAAUAUGAUUCAUUUACUUAUAUGAUUACCUUGAAUGUGAUUUGGAACAACUUCCUAAAUCUCAUUCAUACUCUGGCCAGAGAUUCUUAAUCAUAUCAUAGAGUAUUUUCCUUCAAAUGGUUUGAAGGUUAGAGAUCCCUUAUUGCGCAUUCACUUGCCUCCAUGACUAAUUGGCUUAACCCCAACUAUGCCGUGGACAUCCUCUGACAGAGUGACUUUGACAUAGUCAAAGAUCAAGGACCUAACUACAAGACAACUAUGAUGCCUCAGGUCAAAGGACUACUUUGCAUUAUCUCAACCAUGAGCUCUCAUGUGACAUGAGUAUGAGAACUCCUCGUUGAUCGUGUUCAGUGGACUCAUUCUCUAUUGAGCACCUACAUGCUUGUCUUGGUGUCAAUCACACCAAUGACUCGAGACCAGUCACUCUUCCUGAGAGAAGACACAACACGUACUGAUCUUAACGGACUGUCAAUGCCUAAUUGGCAAUCCUAUGAUCAGGAACGUUUAGGAUAUGUAUACAAAAAAGAAUGGUCUCAGGAAUCUAACUUCUUUAAAUUACAUUCUCCUAAUUACAUAUUCCUUGGACUUAUCGUUUAAGCAUAUAACAUUUAUAUGAGACGGCUUAAAACAAUAAUCUUUGCCCUUAAUAUUAAACUAGAUUAGUUUAACAUGUGAAAUGUCCAUAAAGUAACAUCAUAUGAUUGGUUUUAGGGCACAUUUCCAACAAUCUCCCACUUGCACUAGAGCCAAUCAGUUUGGUCAUCAAUGAUGAUACCUCUUCUGUAGUCAUUUCAAAAAUGGCUGAGUAGUAGGCCUAGACAAUGGAUAUCUAUAUGUUAUCCAUAAAAGCAACCUUGAGAAUAACGACGUCACCAUUAUCCAUGAUUCUUAAUCAUGUGGUUUAGUCUUUCAUUUGAGUUCGGAUCAUGAUGAGACCUUGAUUCCCUGGCUUGAGCUAUCGCCCCAUUAGUGUCGUAGUGUCAGUACACUAGAGACACUUUCUGGUUGUAACCGAAUAGACAGUUCAUGAAUACACUUUCUCAUCUAAACAACAUUGUUGUAAGCUUCUAUAUGGCAAUAUAUUUUGCAUUCACAAUGGAACACACUAAAGUCAUUACUUUUAAUGUUUCCAUCCAAAUAUCUCUUUAGUCAUAAUAAAGAGAUAUCUGAUUAUCUCUUCAUUCAUAAUGAAGAAACAUCCAAUGAUGGAUUUGAUUCAUAAUCUAAUACAUUUACGCUUCCAUUACAUUACUCUAUUUCUUCCUCAUUCUUGAGGAAUCCAUCCUUUAUUAUUUCUCAAAUACUUAAGGAUUCACUUGACAGUUGCCAUGGUUCUAAUCUUGGGCUUGCAUUGGUAUCGUCUUGUACCGAUCUUGGUACAACUCAUAUCAACAUUUUUCAUACAAUAUGAAAUACAUAAAUCACCUUUUUGCGUAUACAUAAAAGAUUCUAUUUACGCAUUAUUUCUUUGGGAGUCAAAGGGUACGUUCCCUUUGAGAAGAGUUACCUCCUAGUCUUACUAGAGUUGUUCUUCUGAUUGAAGUUUAUCAUCAUAUGAGAAACUUCCUAGCAUCUUUUGUCUAUCAUUAGGGCUUGAUAUAAUCCAAUUAUAUCUUGAAAUCUAUCAUUAUAGAUUUCCACCCAUGUUUAUAGACUAUGUCUCCCAUAUACAUUCUAUCGUUAUAGAAUGUUUAAAAUCAUAACUUUAACGAAGAAGUACUCUUUUCAUUUCCAAAAUUAAUAUAUCAUAUAUGUGUAUAUAUAUAUUCAAAUUUAGGAAUAUGAUUAACUCCCACUAAUCUUUUGUAAACCUAGUAAACAAAAGAUUUAUUUACAUCUUUAUGAGAAAUCAAAUUAUUUGAUCUUUCUCUCAUAAGACGCUUAUAACUCCCACUAGCUUGCUAAAAUUCAUGACGGAUAGAUCUCUACAACUUACAUGUCUUGUGAUUCAUAGUUUCAGACAUAUAUUGUCAAGACUAUCUUAAUAAUGGUUUCGAAAACCCAUUAUGUCCAAACAUUGAAUCACCAUUUAGUUGUAGCUAGCAAUCUUCGUAUUAAUUGAAACCAAGACUACAUCAAAGAUGGUUUCUUCAAAGUCAACCAAUCUCUUUGAUUGUAGUCACCUUAAGCUACCAAUUAGCUAUAAAGGUUUCAAUAUUUCGGGUCAAAUGGUAUUUUACCAUUUCUUUAAGUAUAUGUCGUAUAUACACUCAAUGUAGUCAUAAGGAUUUUCAUUCUUAUUUCUUUCGAAUUAAGAGGUGUAACUCUAUGACAUAAUCAUAAAGUUCAAACCAUUCACUGAGACAGUUUAUAAAUCCUUCUCGACUACCUUGGAGCUUGUGGCAUAGGAACUACGUUGUUAUAUUUGUUGAUACUCAAAGAACCCAUUCUUUGAGUUCUAUCUCUCGUUCAUUUGCUCUAUCUUAGGCAAAUCCUAGUGUAGGAUUACAAUGAACUACCCAACAAACAACAUUUGUUAGUUGGUUUAUAAAAGUGAUAUCCAAAUGUCAAUUUAAGGAUACCCACAAGAUAAUUCUUUAAACAAAUAUUGCUUAGUAGCACACAACCCCAAAUCUUAACAUGAUUAAGAUUUGUCUUUCUUUCCAACUACAUCCUAUGGAGUCAUGAAAAUUUUGGAAGAUCUUCCAAUUAACAAUCAUAUUGUCUUAGAAGUAUAUAUCCUAUAUAUGGGUAAUUGAUAACAUCCAAUGAACUAAAUCUUAUUCGAGUUCGUUCUUCCCUUAAUGGAGAAAUCCAUUAUCUUAUGAUGCUUCUUUCCUUGAUAUCUUUCAAGGAAACUGUUCUAAAGUGUUACCUUUCUUUGGAUCAAAUCUAAGGAGGUAAAUACUUUAGACGUCUUACUCAUCAACUUACAUUCUUGAAUUCUUUGAAACCUUUUGCAAAGUAUUUGGACUUUUGUUUAUUCAAAAUAAAGAAUAGUCCAACCGAGAGCGAUCUUCGGUGAAUGUCAUACAACAUGAGUAGUAUUUUGUUGUGGACAAGUGUCACUAACAUCUAAGUGAUUUAACCUCAACAACUUUGUGAUUCUUUCUUCCUUUCCAAAAGAAUAAAGAUUCAAACAUUUUGCCUCUAUACAAUUUUAACAAGAAGGCAUUGGAUCCGGAUCUAACGAUCCAAAGCAUCCAUCUAUGACCAACUCGUAAUUUAUGUUUUAGAGGUAUCACAACUCAGUUGGGAUUAGUCACUACCUUGCAACCUUUUGGGUUUUAAGCAUCGUUAUAUUCUAAACAGUUAACACUACCAUAUGAUCUCUACUAUAGAGAUAAUCAAUUAGAUUACAAUAAUCUAAUCAUUCAUUAAUAAAGAACAAUGUUUUGUCAAACAAAACAUUCAUCCAUUUCUCAUAUGGAAUUAAGUUCCUUUAUUCAAAUUGGAAUGUAAAAACAAUCUUUGUUUUUCCAUUUUCUUUGGUAGUUCAUAUGAGGAAGUAAGUACUACCUGCUUUUGCAGAGAUCUAUAUUUAAUUCACGUUUCGAAUGUGAAGUACUUUAUCUUCUCUCAUUAAUCUUCUACUUCUUAUUAGCCACGCUUUUACAACGAUUGUAAAACAUAGUUACUAAUACGGAAUCAAACAUUCAAGUAAAAGAACCAACUAUUUUGAACUUUUCAAGAACAAUUUACAACACCUUCGAAAGGUGUGUUCUUGACACUUGCAAGACAUUUCUUGCAAAUACCCCUUCCAAUGUCUAUCCUUUCAUAAAGAAAGUUUGUUCCCUUGCAGUUAUUUCGCCUUCUUCAUUUGACUUCUCCUUUGACUACAAUAGUCAUGGUCUCUAAACUCCCACUAUCUCUCUUGAAACUUAUUUCAAUUGUGUUAUAUACAUCAAGCAAUUUGGAGAGCGUGUGGUUAUUUGUUCACUAUAUAGUUUACAAUAAACUUAGUGAACCAUUUGGAUAGGGACACAAAAGUGAAGUCCUUGCCUAGUUUCCGUCUCUAGAAGUGGUUUAACACUUCAACACUCAAUGAUUCAAAAUCAUCAUAAAUCCAUGUUGAUGGACUAUUUUUGUCAACCAACCAUUAUGUUCUAAACACAAUUACAAACUUUGAAGAGUUGUUCAAGGCAACUCUCAUUUCUUCAUACAACAAUUUGUAAGUAAAGAAUCAUGGCACAUAAAGUGUCCAUGCCCUUGUGCUUACUUCUCAAGUUCCUUGUUCAUGUAACAAAGAAACGGGUACUAAUGUUUGCGUUAACUAAGGGUUGUUCAAAGCAACUCUUACUUCUUCAUACAACAAUUUGUAAUUGAAGAAUUAUGACAUUAAAAGUGUUGUCCUCUUUAUGAUAGACUUAUCUAACAUGUUCUUCCAAUGAUACAUUAUCAAUAGGAAGAUUGCAAGGAUGAGACUACUUAGGUACAUAUACAAGCCAUUAUAGACAAUCUAUGGGAUUGUAGUACCAAGUCCGGAAACUACUUAUCUAACAUGUUCUUUGUCAAGUUUUGGAUAACGUUUGCAAAUAUAUUGGUAAAUAAAUACAUAACGAAUAUAAAUUGAUUGAUUUUAAGCCAUUUGAUUCGGGUCUUUAAAUCAAAUAGCAUCACCCACUAUUUUUGGCAAAUUCCAUAUCCCUCAUCGGAAUUCGAGAGUUUUGGAGGAAACUCUUAGUAGGGUAUGGGAGACUCAUCAUUACCAAGCCCACCUCACAAUGAUAUGAUAUUGGCUAACAUCAAUAAUAAUGAGAGAGUACGCUUACUCAUUUGCAUCUCUUGCAAGUACCCAUCUUAUUUGGCCUCUAGAGAAUGAAGCCUCACAAUGAUAUGAUGUUGGCUCCAUUGCACUUAGUUAAGUCAUUCCCACCAUACAAGUUCGAGUAGGGGUUCAAGAACAACCUCACAAUGAUAUGAUGUUGAUCAUUCUCGUUGCCUACCUUCACAACAUCAUGUAUGCAUAUAGAACUCCUCCUGAGUGUAAGCACACACUUUGUACUCCCCCAUGAUAGGGUGAAGUCGGUGUACGAGUCACAAAUGAUCGGAGCCUACCCCGAUGGAAGGCCACGAAAGAGUGUUCAAAGCACUCUCACGCUUAUCAACUUAAUAAUGGUUUGGUGAAGGGUUUUAGGUCUCAUCACAUAUAAGCAUGCAUUUUAAUCUAAUUAAAACAAUUUGGUCCUAUUACAACUAUUGGUCCAUGUGAUUGAUUUAGUAGUAUAUAAUACUCCCACUAAGCUUGUAAAACGGUUUUAAAGCAAGAGUAUAUGGUACUACUAACAUAAGGUUCGCAUUCAUUGAUGGACUAUAUGUUGACUUAGGGCCUUAGGAUGACUAUGAACCUUUGAUUAGAUCCAACACGAGCCUAGUGUUGAAUCUCGGUCUAGGGAUGGUGAUUGAUUUUAGUUACGCGUUUAAUCAUAUUAAGGCGUGUUUUUCUUAUUGGGUGUUGGACCCAACUACUCCAAUUGCAUGCAUAUCAAAUAAAACAAGAAAAGAGUACUUCAAAGUAAAGAAGAGCUUAUGCUCUUUUACAACAUUUGAUCAUAUCAAAUUACAACCAAAAUCUAAUCUACACAUUCCCAUGGUUCAAACAAAUUUGAGACAUCCUUUCACAUAGCUCAAUUAUCGUAGGCUUAGGUUCAUAAUCACCAUUUCUUUAAUUAAUUAACGCUUUAACUAAUUAAACUUGAAUGCAACAUUUUCAUUUGGUUUUUUUUUUUUUGGUCAAUAAUUUUCAUUUGGUUUUUGUUUCCAUAGAAUUGAUUUAAAUAGAGCUAAAUGAAAUGAAAAUCCAAUUCUCAUUUAAAGAUACAAAACUAUUUUGUUCUCAACUAAUUUGGGCCAAAUUCUAUAACCUCAACUUUUUGGGCUAUGUUGCAAAACACAAACUUUUGAGGUCACUUUGUAAGAACACAAAAGUCCACUACUUCAUGUAAUUACAACUAGAACCCAAAAAUUUCAUCAAAUACAAAAACUUCAUUAAAGGAGCAAAACAAUUUGUCCCUUAGUGAUUUUGGGCCUUUACGUAAAAACGUAAACUUUCGGAUCAAAGUACAAAUACACAAAAGUAUCAAAACUUUAUGUAAUUGCAUAAAAGCCUCAAAAGUACCCUACAUGUAGGGUGGGCGGUCAUGGUAGUGUGAGGGGGUGGUUUUUGAUAAAAAAAACAAAAUCAUAAAGUCAUGCAAGUUGAAAAGGAUGGGUGAUGGGUUGGUGUGAAAAAGUAGGUAUAGGUGUGUAAGAAAAAAAAGUACCAGUCAUGUACAAAAAAUUCAAACACUCUAUCAACAUUUAAAUCACAUUUUUCAAAUAAAUGUCUUGUUGAUAGAAAAGUCACACCAACCAACACAAAACAAAGACUUUAUGUAAUCAACCAAAAACUUUGAAUCAAAAACACCAAACUUUUUGUUCUUGGUAAGAACAUCAGGAACAUUGAAGAACACACAGGAAAACUUAUAAGAGCUUCAUGAAUGUUUUCACUCAAUAAAAUUCAAAAUUUCACUACUCAAAAGAGGGUUAACAUUCUAGGGUACUUAGGGGUUCCAAAAGUCACCUUAAAACACUUUUAACAAGACAAACAAGAACCCAAAAAUCCACCCUUUGUAUUUGGCCGAAUUUCCCCAAAAACAUGGCACCAAAUUUUAGCUUCAAAAUUCAUGCUCAUAUGAACUACAUCUACAACAUUUGAGAUAGCAAAUUUUCUAACAAAAUUUACAUUCAAAGAAGCAAGAAUAAAGCUUGUAACAAUUACAACAUUCAAAUCAAAGACUAUGAACUACAAAACCCAAAAGGAUUCACCAACUACUAGACCUAGGCUCUGAUACCACUUGAAGGAAAUUUUGUGAAAAACAUGUUCAUUUGAGCAACAUCUAUGGCAUGCAAUUAACAAUUAAAGGUGGAAUCAUGCUUGUAUGCACUCAAAAACAAAACAUUACCCAUGAAAUUCAAAGCCUAGUAGAAAGGUGAACCAAGACUCAACUCAAGAACAUAGUGAGUUGAGAUAUUUUAUACCUUUGUUGAUUCCUCUUUGCAUAAGUAAAGGCUAAUCACCCAAGGAGAGUGCCUUCAUUCCUUGCUUCUUAGUUCCAUCGAUUUCUUGGAGGAGGAUGGUAGAAAGGAUUCUCCAAGUUCCCAAAGUUGAGAACCUCUAAUUUUUCCACACCAAGGAUGGACUUGAAGAAGAGAUAAGUGACCUUGGAGGAGGAAAGAUUGCUAGCUAAUCUCCUCCAAGGGGCCAGCCUCCUAGAGAGAAAGGGAGAGACUUGUGUUCUCAUCCUUUCCCCAAAAGAAAACCCUAAGGAUGAAAUGGCUAUAAAGUUGCCUUUAUACCACCUCAUAAUGGAGUGGCAAACUUGCAAUUAAAGCAAGUUCAUUACCCUCCUCUAUUUGGCCGGCCUUAAGGGUUUAUUGGGCUUUCAAGCCCUUUGUUUAUUCAAGUUGUCAUACAACUUGAGUUAAUGGGCUUGACAUUCAAAUCCCAUUGGGCCUUUGCAACCCUAACGAACUUAUUCGUUUGAUUAAUUAACAUAUUAAUUAAUCCUAGCCAUAAAUAAUUAAACCAUUUAAUUAUCCUUACUCAUCUCCGUUGUUUCUUCAAUCUCUACCUUACACGGUGUACGAUCCAUUAGGUUCCUUUUAGCGAGGCAGUGGGCGAUUGUUACUCUUAACGAUCGAUUGUGAAUUGAAACUUACUUUCAAUUCUCCCUUUAGUGAUUAUACACGUUUAGGGCUUCCACAAACCAUGAGUGACACCUAGCAGUAUGUCAUGGUUACCCAAGCUAAUCAGAAGAGAUGGAGAACCUAUUCAGUUUAGGAUUACAAUGCAAUACAGUCUUUCUCUAAUACAAUACUCUUGACCACAUUGUUUGGUUUGAUAGUUUAAUCAUGUUUACUAUCCAAUGUGAUUCAUUUACUAUAUGAUUACCUUGAAUGUGAUUUGGAACAACUUCCUAAAUCUCAUUCAUACUCUGGCCAGAGAUUCUUAAUCAUAUCAUAGAGUAUUCUCCCUCAAACGGUUUGAAGGUUAGAGAUCCCUUGUUGCACAUUCACUUGCCUCUAAGGCACCUAAGCAGCCUUAAAGAGAAUCGGUAGUAGCUCAAAAGAAAGAGGACGGGAAGCAGUACAACCACAAAAGUAGACAUGAGGCCAAGCGCAAAGACCGAUCCCCAACUAAAGGAGGCCCAACGCCGAAUAACUAUUCUAAGUUCUCGAUCCCGAACCACCAAAUAUUCUGUGACAUCAAGAGUGAACCAUGGUUCAAGUUGCCGAAGCAAUCAAAAUGAGAUACCUCCAAGUUGGACCACACUAAGUACUGUGCAUUCCACUGAGGUUCCGGUUGCAUAACCGACGACUGCUUCAUUUAGAAGAACUACUUAAAGAAGCUGGUGAAAGAAGGCAAAGCCAACAGAUACUUUAACAAGCCAGCUGCGCAGCCUAGAAGGAACAUAUACGUCGACGAAGAGCUGCCAACCAAGACAAUCCGGAUCAAUGACAUCUUCGUCGAAUCCGAGCACUUAGGGGUCACUAAUAACUCCAAGAAGAGAAAUAUCUAGCAAGCUUUACUAGUCUCACAGGUCUAAGCAGUCAACACCCAACCUGGACCCAUUAUUAGUUUCACCAAGCAGGAUGUCGAAGGCGUCGACUUCCUACACUACAACGCAUUAAUGGUAUCUACCCAACUAGCCCACGAUAUAGUCGACAUAAUGAUGGUUGACAAUAGCAGCGCAGUCAACCUAUUCCAACUCUCAGUCAUUCAGCAGAUGGGCUUGGAAAACAAGAUCAUACGUCGAGCGGAGGUACGCGCCAAAUUCAACAGUCACACCUCAACUGCCAUCGAAAAAAUAACACUCGACGUGAGAACACCCCCAGUGGUUUCAAAGUAGGCAUUCACAAUAGCUAACAACCCGUCUUUCUAUAACGGGAUUCUAAGUCAGCAAUGGCUAGUGAGACUGAGCGCUGUAACCUCUCUCGAGUAUUAGAAAAUUUGAUUCCGUAUCCUAGGAGGAAAAGUCGGAGAGAUUAAGUCAAACAAAGCCACAUCUCGAUGAUACAUUGUGCAAGUUUUGAAGAAGUCAAAGAAAAAGUCAUUUACCCCCGUAGAGGCUAUUGAAGUGUAGAAAUACAACCUUACCUUAACCGAAGAUGGGUCAAGAAAAGCCAAGCACAUAUUUCUUGACCCAAAGCAGUGGUCAAACCACAUCAACAACUUGGCAGAGGCAACAAAGCUCAACCUCGCUGAUGCACAUUCAAGGCAAAUUUGAGCAAUCUUGAACAUAAAGUCCCCCACUACUUUGAAGGAGAUUCAAGGUCUGACCAGACAAGCAGCCGCAUUCAAUCGUUUACCCUUGCGGUCCACCAAUCAACGUGAGCCCCUUUUUCGACUCAAUCGAAGAAAAAUAAAGCAACAAGAUGAAUAGGACGACGAGUGUGAGAUAACAUUCAAGGACUUAAAGAAGUACCUGACAUCACCUCCCUACUAUCCAAACUGGAAGCAGCGGAAGACCUAUUCACAUGUGUGACGGUAUCUGAAGUAGCAAUAAGCUUUACCCUCAUACAAGAAGAGUUGGGGCCCUGACUACCUGUAUUCCACAGUUCAAAAGCUCUCCUCGAUGAGGAAACCAAUUACUAGAAAUUCAAAAGCUAACUUUGGCGAUAGUUGUUGCAACCCGAAAGCUCAAGUUAUACCUUCAGACGUAUGCAGUCAUCCUCAUGAUGCACUGUUCCCCCCCAAUCCAGACGCGUGAUGAUAAAGGCGCAAACACUGGGGAACGCAAAGUUUUCUUAUGAAUGCAACAACUCAGCCCAAAAGGCGCGCCAAAGGCAGGCGAACACUAGAAGGACACCCUUGGAAGUGAGUUGUUGGGGGUAAUUAGAGUUGACAGAAAUCUACGAAUAUAUAAAACACACUACAUUCAAUUUGGAACCUGAAAACAAAUAAUUCUAUUUAUGCAAAACUCUAACUCCUUUUUACCACACAAAAAUUCCAACUACUAUGGCUUGAAACAAAACAACUUUGAAAGCAUUUUAAAUCAUAUUUCAUCCAAAAAUUAUGCACAAAAUAAAUCUUUCACCGAGUAAAAAAGAACUUGGAAAUAUUAUUGAAAAUAAGGUAAUGCAUCUUAAAUUUCGAAUAACAUUCAAUGUCUUCUUGUAACAUCCCACAUCGCACAGUAGAGUGGAUCUUCUAUGCCUUAUAUGUACAUGCCCACAUUUUCCUAACACGAGGCCUUUUAGGAGCUCACUAGCUUCAGGUUUCAUCGAAACUCCGAAGUUAAGCUAGUUCGGGCGAGAGCAAUCCCAGGAUGGGUGACCCACUGGGAAGUUCUCGUGUGAGUUUCCAGAAACAAAACUUUGAGAGCGUGGUUGGGGCCUAAAACUGACAAUAUCAUGUGGAGUCGAGCCCGGGAUGUGGUGGGGGCCCGGGCCGGGAUGUGACAGAAUAGUAUCAAAGCCACUCUGCCGUGUGGUGCUAGUGUGCCGACGAGGACGUCAGGCCUCUAAGGGAGGUGGAUUGUAACAUCCCACAUCGCCCAGGGGAGUGGAUCCUCUAUGCCUUAUAUGUACAUGCCCACCUCUUCCUAACACGAGACUUUUUGGAAGCUCACUAACUUCGGGUUCCAUCAGAACUCCGAAGUUAAGCGAGUUCGCGUGAGAGCAAUCCCAGGAUGGGUGACCCACUGGGAAGUUCUCGUGUGAGUUCCCAGAAACAAAGCCGUGAGAGUGUGGUCGGGGCCCAAAACGAACAAUAUCGUGCUACGACGGAGUCGAACCUGGGAUGUGACCCUUCUACUUUCUAGUUUCUUGAUAGACAAUGAAAUAAUGUGUUCUAGUUUCUUGCUAGGUAAUAAAAUAUGCAAGCAUCCAUAAUAUAUAUUAUCAUUUAGGAAUUUCUGUCUUUUAAUUGAAGAGGAAAUUAGUCUUGUUUCAAUAAUCUUUGUCUAUUGUAUUAUUCAAUUGUUUAAAAUCUAGCUUUCCUCAUAUUAAUAUCACAUUAUUAUAUUAUCGAAAUAUUUUCAUUUGUAUUGAAGUGUGUGUGUGUGUGUGUCACCAAUCAACCAUUCGAUUAUAUUAUGCAUUAACACUGUAUAUCUUAUUAUUAUAUUAUCUAAAUAUUUUCAUUUGUUUUGGGCGUAAGUAUAUGUGUGUGUGUGUGUGACACUGAUCAUUCAUUUAUAUUAUGCAUUAAUACUAUAUGUUGUCAUAAUCAGUGAAUCUUCUGUAUAUGAAUGUGUAACUUAAAGCAUAUCUAGUAUUAUUAAUGGUGUUAUGAUUAAAAAUGACUGACUAAAUAUAAUCUAAAUAUUUCAAAACUGUUGUCUUUCUAUGCUUCAGAAGUAAUACAACCGUCAUAACAAGGUGCUUGAUACAGAAGUCUUCGCAUUACAUAAAAAUGACUGAUUAAGAAGAAUUCAAAGUGCAAAAUGAACAGAAUAUGAAUAAAAGUAUUAGCAUUGUUAUGUUGGCAAACACAUAUUUUUCCAAGUCAAGUUUAAAAGCUACUUAAAACAAUAUUUAGUAAAUUAUCUAGAAGACCAGCGCAGCCUUUACGAAAUGGUUAAAUCAGUGAACCAUGGCCUAUUUAUCAGAGUUGAUGCUCAGUAAAACUUUGAUAAAUAUGUAAUGAUAUUCUAUCUAGUAGAAAAUAUUAAAUGAUCACAGAAAAAUGGUGGCAUAUAUAAAUAUAUGAAAAACAACUAUUGAUAUAAUUAAAAAAGAUGAAUGUUUUUUAAUUUCAUACCACUUGCUAGCCUUUAGCAGCAAACUUUCUGGCUCACGCAAACUGCUUUAGUGGCAAUCUACAGCACAAAAUAUAUUCUCACCUAUUUCAAGAAACCACGGAGUAACUUGACUACGUAUGAAACAUAUAGAAACCAAGCUGAUGCCAUUCUUCACAAAGAAGAUUUUCAUUGUUGAAGAUUGCACAAUUUGUAUUUCUCUCAAUUUGACUUUCACUUGGUGCGAUGGCAAAUGCCUUCGCCCAUGAGCGGUAGGUCUCGGGUUCGAGACUUGGGAGCAGCCUCUCCAUAAAUGGGGGUAAGGCUAGCCGACAUUCACCUCUCCCAGACCCUGCGUAAAGCGGGAGCCUUGUGCACUGGGUACGACCUUUUAGACAACGUAUAAGAAGGAUGACAGGGGUUGCCACUCGGUUCACUUUGAUCUGAUUGUAUUUCCAGAUUCCCAUUCUGCUUGCAAAUAGAGAAACACGAAGAAACGGUCGAAAUCCCUUUUCUUUUUCUUUUUUUUUUAAACAAAAGCUAAGGGCUUAAUCGUGGAGGGAGCAUGAUCCUUUAACCUUGAUGGAGCUACUAUUACUUUUGCGGAGGCAAUGGGCUUAAAGAAAGGUUUCAAACUCGCUAAAGCCAAGGGCUUAAUCGUGGAGGGAGAUUCCGAAGUGGUGAUCGAAUCAGUGAUAGGUAAUUGGGAUGUUCUCUGGAAAAUUAAAACUCUUAUUGAGGAGGUUCGGUUUAUUGCUGCUUCGUUCUUGCGGGCUGAGUGGAGGCAUGCUUUCCGUAAAGCCAACUUUGCCACUAAUGCUUUGGCGCAUUUUGGGCUUUCUCUUCGCCCCACAUUUGGAAUCAUUGUCUGCCUUCAAGUGCUUUACCUGCUUUCCAUCUUGAUUGUAUUGGUAACAGAUGUAUGAACUAGAGGCUUUUCUCUUUAAUGAAUGCUUUUUUCUAACCAACAAAAAAAACAAAGAUAUAUAAGAAUCUAGGACUGGAAAAUUUUCUCGAUUCCCAAACCAAACCAAAAUUUUUUUUUAUCCCAAACCAAUAGUACCGAAAUUUUAAGACUCCAUAUAGAUCAGGAUUACAUAUUCAAUGGUUCAGAAAUCUUGAAUCGAAUAUAUAUAUAUAUAUUGGUUGCAUGCAUGUUGAAUGUUGAAUUUAAGUUAUUUGGUAGUAGGCUAUAUUAGAAAUAGAAAUAUGCAAUUAAGUAGUUUGGAACUUUGGAACGUCAAUUUGACUUGGUAUAAAAUUGGUAUGAAAUUUCAAAUUGGUAUGAGGUAAAAAUCCUAAAUUUCAAUUGAUAUAAAAUAGGACAACAAAAUUUCAAGCCAAAAGCCCAAAUUUUAGCCCACAACCCAAAAGCUCAAAACCCAAAAUCCAAUCCUGAUCCAUUCCAAAAUAUCGAAAACAUUUUAGGAAUUUUGAAUUUUUGGAAUAUCAAAAUUUUGGUACGGGGUUGAUCUUCAAAUUCUCAUCCAAAAAAAUUUAUGUUUGGAAUUCGGAAUCCUAUUUGGGUUUGGUUCCAUUUUCGGGUUGAGAUCUCAUGCCGAACCACCCUAUAAGAACCUAUUUAACGAUAAGGCGACGUGUUUAGGUUAUCCCAAAUCACAUGAAGACUACAGUAAAACUCUCCCAUUUACGGAAAGUCUACAAAGAUUGAAAGCACCACAACAAUUAUGUAAACCUUCAAAUUGUGCAACAUGAGAUGAGUAAAAUAAUACUCACUGACCAAUAUGAUGUAAGGUAAAAUAGUAAAAUGAUAUUAAAAAAUAUUAAUGUAAAGCGACACGAAACAAAUAAUAUAAUCUCCGAAUCUGUGAGCUCAUGACCCUAAUACCGAUUGAUGUUUGCAUUAUUUACUCAAAGAAGUUUAUAGAAAAGGACUAAUAUAGCAUGACAGAAGCCCAGAAUAAGAGAGGAGCAAAAAAUCCAGUCCACUCUACCCUGCUGGAACCGCCAUCGUCGUUUCCCGGUGUUCCUGCAAGAUUAACUGCAAUAUUAUAACGACCUAAUGGAGAUUUAACACUAAAUUUACCACUUGGUUAAAUGGUAAAAAUUCAUAAGAAACAUUCAUGUAAAUUAAACAUUUGGGUCCCUCUAAACUUUAAUUUUAGCUGAUUUAUCCCCACAACUUUUAUAAUAAACCAAACCAAUUUUCCUUGGAAGGUUUUCAUCUAUCCAAUUUUCUCUUCUUUUGUCUUCAUACAAUUGUCAUAUGUUGUUCGCGUGAUUAAAAUGAUUGAAAAGUUAGAUGAAAAAUUUUAAAGCUAAAAAAUUGACUAAUUAUAAAAGUUCAUAAAAUAAUUAGAUAAAAUAAAUUAAAAAAAUUGAUAACUCUAUACAAGUUUAGGUGAUAAAUAGACAAACAUAACAUGACAUAACUGUUUACUCUGGAGUCUUUUGACUUAUCAGCACUUGAAAAUUCAACUUGUUUUAUUAUUAUUUGCUGCCCAACUGUAAAGACGUGGGAUAUUUUUUAUUUUUUAUUUUUUUUAUUGCUUUUGAAUUUUUAAUAGGGCCAGUCAGAUUUGGUGGCGCCGACUGAAGUUAGCAAAUUAUAUACAAAAACACAUGGCAUGUCCAAGUGAAGUGCCCUUUCUUUACCUACUAUUCUCUAGGUACACCAACUUUUAAAAUCAAAACUUGUAAAUUUGUUAAUCAGAUAUAUGUCACAAUUCACCUGUUGUAAUUUAUAAAAUAUAAUUUAAACGGACGAUCUACUUGACAUUGAAUCUUAUUACUGUAUGUAUAACUUGAUUGAGAUUAUGUUACCAAUGCGAUCAGCUUUCGUGUAAGUAUCAUUCCUCUUCUAACACUAAUGCUUAUAUGGUCUAGUGAAACUUAUCAUUUUGUUGGAAAAAUGUUAAAUAAGUUUAGAUUUAAAGAAUGAUAGUCGUUUUUUUCUUUCUUAUACAAACGAUAUAUUUAUAUUACCAAGUGUGAGAAUCAGUUAAGCUUAAUAAUAAGUCAAUCAUAAUAAUAUGGUUCAAAUCCGAUUUUGAACUAAGACAGAGCAGACGUAAACUCUUUCUCAGUGCUCAUAAUUAUCAUUGACUAUGAACUCCCAACUCUGCUAUCAAUCUAUCCAGAAAUUAUUAGUUGUUCAAAUUGGAUGUUGAUGCCUGUGCUCAGUUUAUGAUCUCCAUUUUAAUUAAACACACAACAUUAUCAGUCAUUUCAAAAUAAAUCCCAUCUUUGCUACUACCCAAUUGAAUUUUGAAUUUUGAUCCAAACAAGUAAAAAGAAAGAGAAGGCAAGUGGCCGUAACCAUAUGUAGAAAGGAGUUAAGAUUUUGCAUGACAGUCUGAAUUCAAAUUCCAUCGGUAAUUAAUGUAACACCUAAUUUACCAAAAUUUAUCUUCCACAAAAUAAAAGUAAAAAGAAAGAGAAGUUUGGUACCUGUGGCUGCAGGUGGGGAUUGUGUAGGAGCAACUACGGCUGCUGCAAAAUCAAAACACCAAAACAUAUAAGUUAGUUCAAGAUCUUAAACGGGUGCGUUUAGAAAAAUCCAAAUUAAACUAAAGAGUGCACUGAGCAAAAGUACUUUUGCAUUUGGAUGUAUCAAGUGAUUGGCCGCAAGCGUUGGCGAUUCUGAGAGCGGAAGUGAUGUUGCUGCCCAAACUCUCGAGAAGUCCGGGAGUGUAAAAGAGGUUGCAGAGACACGGAAGCUGGGUGGCCACCGUCUGCUUGAUGGCAGUGCAGCACGUGGCAGAUGGUUGAGCUGUGCUGUUGAGGUAGUCCGCGCACGGCAGAAGGUCCUGAGCACAAGCCGGCGUCGUUUGACCGGCCGCCGAUCCGAAUAAACUUAAUAACACAACCAUCGUGGCCACCGCCAACAUGGAAAUGCUGUAGCAGCCCAUCUCUCUCUCUUCUCUUUUUCUCUCUAAUAAAAUGGGAGGUGGAGGGUGGCUCUACUACUUUUUCGAUUACCUUGUGAGGAUUUUAUAUACAGUUGUUGUCAUUUAGUCAAAUAUUAGUUCCCAAAAAAAUGGACAAGCCAUGUGUAAUUUAUUAAAAUAGUGUUACUAGAAGGGAUUUGCUAAGAUCUUUCAACGCAAUUGCUUGUAAUCUUCAUAAUUUAUAAAAAUUACAAAUGGUUAUAAAGAGAUUACGCAUGAUAACCAAUGUGUAACAGUGAUCUCACUACUACAAAAUUAUUUAUAACUGGCGGUCCAAAAACCAACAAGAAACGUAUAUUACUGUCGGAUUUUAAGCAAAAUUCGACAGAAAAUGGAUACAGUGGCGGAUAUAAUAAGCGACAGAUUUUCCAGAGUCAGGAAAUGAAUUUUUCGAUAGAAAAUACUCUAAAACCGACAUAAAUUGUGUCGAAUAUAACCGACAGGAUAUAUAUUUAUAAUAAAUAAGAGAAUUUCUGUCGGAUAUAACCAACAAAUACUUUAUUAAUAAGAAUAAAUAAAAGCAUUCUUGUCGGAUAAAACCGACAGAAAAUAUAUUAAUAAUUAAAAAAAUAUAAAUCACUUUUUGCAUUUUCCAUAUCCCCUGAACUUUUUGCAUUUUCCAUAGCAUUCACCAUCUGAAACCUCGCCGAAGCUCGAUCUCGAAAACCUCAGGGCCUUAAAGUCUUAGGCAAGGAAGCAAUGGGCACCGUUUUCUUAGUCCACGACCCGUCGUCCGACCACCCGCCUCCCGUUCGCUCUCAAAGUCGUCGACAAGUCCGCCCUUCGCUCCAAGCUAGAUGCCGAGUGCCGCGCCCAUUGGGAAAUCCAGGUCCUGACUAGACUAUCUAGCCCUAAUCCUCACCUAUUUCUACCCUCCAUCAUGGGGUCAUUCGAGUUCGACGGUUCAUGGGAUGAGUUGUCCCUUACUGCCCCGUAUUUGAGGUGUCUUUAGCAACAUCAGCACCAUAAUGUUAUGCUAACCGUUCUGAGCGACGACAUCCGCUCGUAGCACCACCACCAACAACAUCCAACCCACUGAAACAAACAACACAAAAUUAUUCAAGUUUUUCAAUCACCUCUCGGCCGGGUAACUACCGACUACUAACAAAUUUUAGCAUGUUUAAAUUCGUACCCAUAGUUCCCCAUAUGAGAGACACAGAGAGAGAGAGAGAGAGAGAGAGAGAGAGAGCAAGAAUGUUACCUUUUUCUUGUCCGACAACGAUAAGAAUUGGAGUCAUCAGAACGCCUCGCCAUAUUCGAGAUAGCUAAAGCUAGGGUUUAUGAACUUUGGUUGCAAGUGUUCGAACUGGAAGUAAAUGAGGAGAGAAGAAAAGGAGAAGGAAAUGAGGAGAGGAGAAAAUGAGGAAGGGAGAAGCACCGGUGCAAGGAAGAGAUGGAGGGAUUAUAUUUUGGAAAAUAUUCAUUACUGUCGGUUAUAACUAUGACAGCCCGUUCCGAAAUAUAUUUUUCGAUGGUGUGAAUUGACUAGAAUACCUUUGGAUGUUGAGUAUAUUGUGUAGUGUUGUGGUUUGAGUUUAGGUGUUAAACUAAUCUAAUUAGUUCCUAAGUUUUUAGAACUUAAAAAUUAUGGUUUUGUGGUUGUUAGUAGCCCAAAACUAGACCACACACUCACACUCACACACACCACUCCCGUUGAUUUCUCUCUCUCCUCCCUCCCUCGGAUUUCUUGCCAUUUCCGUACAACCUGUACGAACAACCUUCAAAACCUUUUCAAACUUCACAGAUCGAGGUUGUGAUCGAUGUUUUUGGACUCCUUGCAAGCUUAGGAGUCGAAUGGUAGUGAUGGUUGGACGUGAAAAUCCCAAAAAACCUGAUAAACCAUAAUCUCCAAUUUGAGCAUUGUUCAUGCACUCAUGAUUUCGAAGUUUUUAGAAGAUUUUAAGCAACUAGUGAGCUUUAGGACAUCUUCACAAAGCUCGGAGAAGAAAAACGAAGUGAAUUGGACGUCGGGGAAGUUGAGUUUGGCGAGUUUCAAAAUUAGCCGGAUUAUCGAGGGUUCUCCGGCGAAAUCCCGUGGGUUUUAGGGCUGUAAAGUGGUAAGGUUUUGUUCCUCUCAUCCUAAGCUUCAAAUUGGUAUAAAUUUUGUGAAUUUUGGUUGAGAAUCGAAGAAGAUAUGAAGGUUUGAUUGUUUUUCCAGAAAUCGGCACCGGCGACGAUCUCCGGCAAUCCAAGGAAGACGAAGAAGAAUAUUCCGUCAAGUCUGACAGAAUAUUCUAACAGCGUCAGGUAACGCCGUUAACUUCUGUUAAGAUUUAAUGGAAUAUUCCUAACGGCAGUUAAGCUUCAGUUAGGGUUUGGCCGAGCGUGGGAGGUCGGAAAAUUUUUCUAAAAAUAUAGGGAUGUUCCUGAGGUUGAGUAGAUCAUGGUGGUAUAAGUUAUUUUCUAGUUUUGUGUAUGUGCUUUAAAUAAUGUUUAUUCAUUUAUUCCGCAUAUAGUGAAACCUAUCCUGAGGACGAGCGCCAUCAUUCGAGGCUCGGGGGCUACGACCCUUCGACAUAUCAGUGAGUGGGCUUUUGGUUUUCCAUAUAUACCUAUAUAUUUGAGUUUUUCCCAGAAAAUGAAUUUGAAUGAUUAUACGUUUUGAAAUGCCAUGCAAAGUAUUUGUCUAUUUUAUUAUGCAUGAAUAGUUGCAUAUAUUUAUGAUUGGUGUUGUGAACACACAGGUAAGUGCCAGGUAAGUUCAUAAAUUAAAGAUAUGAUGUUACUUCAGUUAUGUGAGAUAUGAUGUGAUGUAUUGAGAGCUCAUGAACUUGCACCCGGUGUUAGUGCUCCCACCCAUGGUUAGGGCACAGUCCUUCACGUGAGGUUCACCUCUCGCACCAUAUGCUCACAUUGGAUCCAAGUUAGGUGCACAUGUUUGUCAUACAUACCACUUUAGGUGGUUCCAACUCGUAGAUGACUCGCGAUUAUUCGCACAGCCUUCACUUGAUCAUAGCACUAGAGCAUAUUUACUUUACACCUAGUAUUGUCGUACAUAUCACUUUAGGUGAUUUUGACUCAUGUGCAGGAUUUGAUUUGAUAUGAUUGAGAUUGGUUAUGAGUUAUAUAUUCAGCAGUGCAGUUUGAGUUAGAGAGAUUUGGCUGAUGCGAAAUUUGACUUUGAUAUAUUUUUGCUUGUAUUACUUAUAGCAUUGCAUUGAGAUACUUUGGCAUGGUAUAUUUUUAUGGAUUUUCAUCUUGAGUAUGAUUUCUGAUACAGCUUGUUAUUACUAUUAUUUUCUGGGAAAUUAUACAGGUUUUACGGCGAGGGGUUAGAACUUUUGAGAAAUGAAAUGAUUUUGAAAAGUUUUGUUUUUGCCCACUCACACUUUCUGUUUUGCGCCUCUCCAGGUUUUAGGUAGAAGUGCUUGGUGGAUCACGGGGAUUUCGACGGGGGUUCUGACAUAAUAUCAUUAAUGUAGGAUCACCUUUGGGUGUUGAAUAAUUAGUACUUGUCCUGCUUGACUGCACUUAGGAUAUUUAUGCUCUGGUCGUGUAAUUCACACUUAGUAUCUCUCUAGCACUCUAUCUUAGCUAGUACUCUAGUUGAUUUGGUUUUUAUUAUCCGUAAUUCCUUAUAUCUCUAUUGCUUCCGCACUGGGCACUUAGCUAUGUCACCCUCACGUGACGGCCAGCAUGCCUCGAUUGAGGUCGGGGUGUGUCAAUAAUCGACAGAAACAAAAUGGAGGUAAAAAUCCCCCCAAAAUUCCCUUUGAAAAUUUUAUAUUUUCCCCCAAAAUUUUAAAUUCCCCCCCCCCCCAAAAAAAAAAUUGUUACGAUUUGAAAAAAUAAAAUAAUAAUUGUUUUGUUUAAUAAAUAAAUAAAUAAUAUGUAUUUACAUAGAAUAUGUUUUUAAAAAUUAAAUAAAUAAUUGUUUGGUUUAAUAGAUAAUUUUUACACUUUUGGUUUAAUAUAUAAUAAUCCAUGUAAAAUAUGCGAUAAAGAAACAAAAAGAGAAUUGUACAAUGAAAAUGUCAUCAUACAAACAAAAUAUUGUCUAAUCAAUACUUGAAAAAUAUAAAUAAAAAUUUAGCAUAAAUUACUUUUUCCACUUCAAAAUUUAGGCAAAUUUAACGGAGAUAUGCAUUCUACGAAACUAGUUUCCAUGAUCUAACCGUACUUGUUUGUAGAUACUACAAGAUCACAUACAUAAAAAAUCGUAAAAAACAAACAUUCAAAGAUUACAUAACGGAACAAAAGUUUUCGACAGUUAUAAACGAAAAUUCACAAUUUAACGGUUAUUUUAGCUUCGAUUUUAAUGAUUUUUUACAGCUACACUCCUCGACCCUAUAGAAUGUAAUGAAUAAAUUUGAUCAUCAAUUUAAAAUAUUUGCAUUAGUAGAUACCAUAAAAUCUUAUUUUAUACUUAAUGGAAGUAUAACAUUAACUCUAAGUGUUUUUUUAAUCUACCGUUUUGAUGCGAUACACAUUCUAUGAAGCGUUUUUCAACGAUCCAACCAUCAAACUUGUUUGUACAUAUUCCGAGAUCACAUACGUAAAAAAUCACAAAAAAAAACAUCAAGAGAUUAGGUAACAAAACAAAAAAUUUCAACGGUUAUAAACGAAAAAUCACAAUUUAACGGUUACUUUAGGUUCGAUUUUGAUGAUUUUUUUACAGCUACACUCCUUGACCCUGUAAGAAUGCACUGAACAAAUUCGAUUGUCAAUUUAAAAUAUUUACACUAGUGGAUACCACAAAAUCUUAUUUUAUACUUGAUAGGGAAGUAUAACAUUAAUUCUUAAGUGUUUAUUUAAUCUACCAUUUUGACACGAUACACAUUCUAUGAAACUUUUUUCAACGAUCGAACUGUCAAAUUUGUUUGUACACACUCUGAGAUCACAUACGUAAAAAAUCACAAAAAAUAAACACUCAGAGAUUAGGUAACAAAACAAAAGUUUUCGACAGUUAUAAACGAAAAAUCAUAAUUUAACGGUUAUUUUAGCUCCGAUUUUGAUGAUUUUUUACAGCUACACUCUUUGACCCUAUAAGAAUGCAUUGAACAAAUUCGAUCUUCAAUUUAAAAUAUUUACACUAGUGGAUACCACAAAAUCUUAUUUUAUACUUGAUAGGGAAGUAUAACAUUAACUCUUAAGUGUUUGUUAAAUCUAUCAAUUUGAUAGGAUAUGCAUUCUACGAAACUAGUUUCCAUGAUCUAACCAUCCAACUUGUUUGUAGAUCCUAUAAGAUCGCAUACGUAAAAAAUCAUAAAAAAUAAACAUUCAAAGAUUACGUAACGGAACAAAAGUUUUUGACAAUUAUAAACGAAAAUUCACAAUUUAACGGUUAUUUUAGCUUCAAUUUUAAUGAUUUUUUUAUAGAUAUACUCCUCGAUCCUAUAAGAAUGUAAUGAAUAAAUUUGAUCUUCAAUUUAAAAUAUUUUCACUAGUGGAUACCACAAAAUCUUAUUUUAUACUUAAUGGAAGUAUAACGUCACCUCUAAGUGUUUGUUUAAUCUAUCGUUUUGAUGCGAUACACAUUCUACGAAGUGUUUUUCAAUGAUCCAACCAUUAAACUUGUUUGUACACACUCUGAAAUCGCAUACGUAAAAAAUCACAAAAAACAAACAUUAAGAGAUUAUGUAACAAAACAAAAGUUUCGACGGUUAUAAACGAAAAAUCACAAUUUAACGGUUACUUUAGCUCCGAUUUUGAUGAUUUUUUACAGCUACACUCAUCGACCCUAUGAGAAUGCAUUGAACAAAUCUGAUCUUCAAUUUAAAAUAUUUACACUAGUGGAUACUGCAAAAUAUUAUUUUAUACUUGAUGCGGAAGUAUAACAUUAACUCUAAGUGUUGGUUUAAUCUACCAUUUUGAUGCGAUACACAUUCUACGAAACGUUUUUCAACGAUCCAAUUGUCAAACUUGUUUGUACACACUCCAAGAUCACAUAUGUAAAAAAUGGCAAAAAACAAACAUUCAGAUAUUAGGUAACGGAACAAAAGUUUUUGAUGGUUAUAAAUAAAAAAUCACAAUUUAAUGGUUAUUUUAGCUUCGAUUUUGAUGAUUUUUUGCAGCUACACUCCUCGAUCCUAUAAGAAUGCAAUGAAUGAAUUCGAUCUUCAAUUUAAAAUAUUUACACUAGUGGAUAAAUUUUAUUUUAUACUUAAUGGAAGUAUAACAUUAACUCUUAAGUGUUUGUUAAAUCUAUCAAUUUGAUAGGAUAUGCUUUCUACGAAACUAGUUUCAACGAUCCAACCAUCAAAUAUGUUUGUAUAUACUUCGAGAGCAUGUGUAAAAAAUCGCAAAAAAAGAAAAAAAAAUAUAUAUAUAUAUAUAUAUUUAAAACAUGUGUUUAUUUAUUUAUUUAUAAUCAAUAUAACAUUUUAAAAUAAUAAAAUCAGACAUGAUAGAGUACCCCAGAUGUUCAUGUGUGUUUAUGUGCCAGACAAUGUGCUUUGUGACGCAUUGAAAAAAAUUCUUUGAAUUUCUUUGUAUCUUGUUGCUUGCCUGUGAGGGAGCAUAAUCCGUAUUACAAAAAUGAUAGAGCUUCAUAUUGUAGUCUGUUGUUAUUAUUCUCUCAGAAAAUUUAUGGCUCCUGAGAAUUGGGUUCAUUAGACUUUAGGGUCAUGAGUGAAAAAAAAAAUAUUUAAAAUAUGUGUUAUUUAUUUAUUUUUAAUCAAUAUAACUUUUUAAAAUAAUAAAAUUUUCAUUUAUGUCAGUUAUACCGCCAGAAUACUAAAAUAAUAACCAUCAGAAAGUAAAAUAAUAAAAUAGUCAAUUUCUGUUGGUUAUAACCGCCACCAUUAACUUAAAAACCGCCAGAAUUUGUCAAAAAUAUUUAGAAAAAAGAUUCAAAAAUACUGUCGGAUAUAACCGACAAUAUUUUUUUUUAUAUCUGCCACUAAAUAUUCGACAGGAAUUUAUGUUGGAUAUAACCGACAUGAUUUUUCUAAUAUCCGCCACUAAUUAAAUGAUGUGUCGGAUAUAAUUUAUUCAACAAGAUUUUUCUAAUAUCCGCCACCAUCAUCCGUCACCUAAAGCUAAUAUUAUAAUAGUGUCUACAUAUACGGUUCAAUUUAGAUCGUCUUAAGUUUAAUUCUCAUAAACUAACAUCAAUUUAUAUGAUUUUGGAAUUGUGGUACGACGUGAUAUGAUCGAGUUGAUGGAAGCAUUGACAUGCCCCAGUAAUAGUUGCUUAGUAAUUAAAAGUGGGUUGUUUGCAUUAGUUACGAGGUUUUGGUCUGUAAUAAUUGAAAUAGGUUAUGAAGUGAUUUAUUCUUAGGUAAAUCUCAAUUUACUACUCUCAAAUUUCGUGGUUUUCAACAUUUGGUACAUGAAGUUUCUUUCUUCCCAGAGUCAUACCAAAAGUGUUAAUUUUGGGACAGUCUCAUACAUUCGUUUAGAUUUGUAAACGGGUCACCUGAACCCAAUCCAUUAAACUAACGGGUCACCCAAACUCAACCCGUUAAUCUAAUAAGUCACCCGUUUCACUCGUUAACACCCGUUAACAAUUUUUUUUUCUUUUUUUUAUUAUUUAAAUACCUUUCCAUAGAGCAAUCUCCACUUCAAUGCAGUUCGUUCCAUAGGCCCGCUGACAAACAAGAUCAUAACAACAUUGCCAAAAAACUUCCUCCAUCGAACCAAAUUCCCUAUCUCAUAGUUCACUGUCUCUGAUUCCUUAACCCCAAGAUGCACAAAAGGAAGUUUUCGAGGAUUAAAUUCCUUCGGCUUGCAUGGCCAAUGAUUAUUCUUGGCUUAUCCAAAUUCAUGACAUUCUGUCUCGGUUGAAUAUACCCCACAACAAGCAGAUCUUAAAGCCAAGCUGCAGUGAACUUCACCUCCUUCUUAGAGAGCAGACAGAGUGAGGGUUUCAUUAUUGACUAUUGAAAUUACACAAAAACCUUCAGUAACGGGUGGUUAACGAGUUUCGCGGGUUCACCCAAAAUGACCCGUUAUGUAACGGGUGAUUAAUAGGUUAACCCGUUAACCACCCGACCCGUUAAACACUCACUCGAAUACUCAUUUUAAUGGAUUGGGUCGGGUUUGAAAUGUCAGGUCUACAUCUGUUAGUCUGGUUAUUAAGUCUCUCAUUACUGAUGAUGUGGCGCCAUGUAGACAAUGACUGGACGCCACGUGCCAUUAAGGGGUCCACGUAGAAAUUAAAAAUUCGGAAAAAAAAACCCCAGAAUCCCCACCCCUGCCCACCCUCCCACCCCGCAUCACCCACCCCUUCUCCCCACCCCGCAUCAUCCACCCCUUAUCCUCGUCAACUGCUCCUCGAGCCCAGUCUCACUCCUCGACACUGGUCCAACGCCGGAGCUCCCCACAUCGUUUGAAGGCGAUGUGUUCUCCGAUUCCCUACCAUUCAAUUGAUCCCCAACGCGAUCGAUCUCGUCAUUCGUGUGUAAAUCUUAGUCUCCAUGGUUAGUCAUCGCAAAUAAUUAGGGGAAAUUUCCUAGAAAUUUCAAAUCGCCUUGAUAGAUUCGAAACCUAAUCGAAUUUAAUUCUUUUAGUUAAAUUAGAUUAAAUUAUUUAAAAUUUUGGUUUCCAAAUCUGAAACGGAAGCCCCGGAGCCGAUUAAGAUUGAAUCCGGAAGGGAAGAUUGAAUUGCCGAUUGCGUGGGUGAGGAGAGAGAGAUAUAUAAGGAGGGGGCAUGGGAGGGUGGGCACGGGUGGGAAUUCUGGAGAAGUUUUUUUUUUUUUUUUUUUACUUUUCUUUAAAUAAAUAUUUUUUUGAAUUUUUAAUUUCCACGCAGACCCUUAAUGACACGUGGCAUCCAAUCAUUGUCCACAUGGGGCCACGUCAUCAUUUAACGAGAGACUUAACUGCUAGACUAACGGAUGUAUGAGACUGUCCCAAAAUUAAUACUUUAGGUAUGAUUUUGGGACGAAAACCACAAAACUUGAGCGUAGUAGACUAAGAUUUACUCUUUAUUCUUUGAUUUGAAAGCUGAUUUACAUUUGGGUCUUGAGUGGAAUUGCUAUUGUCAGAAGAUGUGAUGAAAUGGUCACUCACAUUCUAUUUCGGAGUACUGAAUGCAAGAGGCUUAUCACUUAAGUAAUUAAGAGUAUAUGUUCCCACACUUGCAAUCAAAUGUUAGUUUUUUCCCUACUCAAGUAUCACUUGUACUAAAAACAAAACAAAAAAGCAAACGAGGAGAAACUUGAUCAAUAUGACAUUAGCUAUUACGAGGCAAAAUCACAAGAGAAGUGUGGACUAUGAAAUGUGAAUGCAAUGUAAGAUACAUUUUGAAAUCACAACAAUAAAAUAAUAAGAUAUUAGGAUCACAUAUUUAAUAAACUAAAAUCAAUAAAUCAAUUACACUUAAUUUAUCGGCGCAUGCAUAUGAAUGUGUUCUGCACUCUCUAAACUAUAUGUCCUAGCUAUUAAUAGAGUUUAGCACAUAAUAGAACGUGUAUUGUGAGAGCAUAUGUGAUUAGGGUUGCAAUAACACUAAAAUAUCAAGUCACCAAAAUAAUAAGUUAUUUGAAAAUUAAGUGAAUUAAUUGACACUCAUAAUAAUUCUUAGAUGCAAGAGUUGAAAAAAGAAAAGUAAAAAUCGUCAUCGUUUCCACUCUUAGAAACCGAAGCCAUGGAUUCACAAAUCGAUUGACAAUGACUUACUACUCGUUUGAAUGUGGUUUUAAAAUGUCUGAAUGCGCUUUUAGUUAAAUUGAUUUUGAGUUCCAAAAGCACUUUAAGUGCUUUUUGGAAGAAGCAACAUAUAUGUAUUUCUUGCAAGAAACACUUAAAAUGCUUUUCCAGGAUCCAAUUGAAUUUUUACUAAAAAUUGGUAUAAACAAUAUUUUCACUAAAAUCAUUUUCAAUCAUUUUAAAAAUACAUCUAAACGAGUCUUUAUUCAUAUAAAUUCAAUAUUUGACGUUGCAGGCUGUAGCGGCCGCACACAAUUUCUUCCCCAACUUCUUGUUUUCAGGUGAUUCCAUGAAAUUUGUGGGAUGCAAAAUUAGGUCAACGAGGUUAUGAUGAGACAGAAACAAUUGGUGCCAGUUGGUCCUCUAGCUUCUCGAUCGUCAGCUAGUCAGUUGUCAAGUUGAUUUUGUCAACAAGGAAAGCUCCGAAAAAAAAAAAAAAAAAAAAAAAAAAAAUAAGAUAGUCGUGUGAUGGAUCAAGAAGGGAAGUGAUCUCGAUCACCUAAACUUUUUAAAGGGGAAUGUUAGAAAUGUAAGGCUGGCACUUUAGGAGUACAAUUCUCUCCUUUUUUCUUUUUAAUUUUUUUUCUUCCUCUAUUAUUCUCUCUUAUUUGAACGAUCACGAUUAAACCACGUUAACAUCUUAUAUUAAUUUUUUAUAGAAAGAAAAAAACAAAAUAAAGAAUGUGAGAGGAGAGGAUGAAAAAUGAUAGAAAGAGGAAGGAAGAGAAUCUUAGUCCGGCACUUUAAGCAUCUAAAGUGGAGAUGUAGAAUUCUUUGAAAGGAGCAUUUUACAUUUUUUUUCUUGGUCAAAAUGCUCAUGGAAUUUAAAUAUGAUAAUGCGGAGAUCAAUUUUUUUAAACCAAAUUUGCAAAUUAAAUGAUGUGGUUAUUGAUGAUUGGAUUAUUACUAAACCGUUGAUUAACAUGCUUAUUUUAUAUUGGUGACACAUCAUUUGAUUUAAAAUUUUGAUCUCUCCAGCAUGAAUGAUGAUCCUCUCCGCAUCCUCUUUAUGAGGAUGCCAGAGAUCUGUGAAUUAUGUCCGUUUAUCGUACAUCGUGCCGUUAGAAAUCAUUUUAAAUUUUGUAUUUAAAAUUGAACACAAACAAUACUUGGUGAAAAUUGACUGCAUAAUGUGCAAUGAACAAACAUGAUUCACAAAUCUUCAGGAUCUUUACAAAGAGGAUCCAGAUUCCCCCAACAUUGUAUAUUUGCAACUUUUUAACAUUUCCAAGAAGUGGGCUCUGCUAGUCAAAGAGAGAAAAAUAAAUGAGAUCUCAAAUUUACAAUUCUCUCAUUAGAGUAGGACUCGUAUUUACAUCUCCUGAAGAUGUAAAAUGAUGUGUAAAUGUGAUUUUACAUCUUUAAUUUAUAUAUCUAAAGAUGCCAUUUAGACAUCUUCAUUAAAGAUGCUCUUACACAUUAGACAGAUCAUUUAAUCUUUUUUUUUGUUUUUUGGGGGGGGGGGGGGUGCGGGAGGAAACAAACAAAGAAAAUAGAAAAUGAUCAUUCUUGUACAAGCAACAUAUUAUUAUUUUGCGUGUGUAUAGAUGAGGACACUUAUUUUUUGACACUCAUUUUAUAGGGUCAUUCUGUAACAUUAUUCAAUGAUCUAAACGAUUUAUAUUUUAGGUUUUUUCUCAAAGAUUAUGUCUCAAAAAACAUAUGACCGUUUGAUUAAAUAAUGUCAUUUAGUAUUUCUUUGUAAACUGUAUUUGUUUAUAUUCUUUACUACAAAUAAAUGACUUUUAUGAAUGAUGAAUGUUUAUUUUUCGGCAAAGAUGAUUUAUGAAUGAUGAAUUGUAAUAUAGACGAUUCAAAUUGUUGAUACAAAGUUACAGAGUUAUUCCUAUAAAAUAGAUGUCAAAAUGUGUAUUAAAAACUGGACGUCCUCCGAUUCUAACCCAUGUUUAUAUAACAUCCCCCUCUAUGCCCUACGGUAAUGAUUCCUCUGGCAUUACGAACUUUACCACAACAAUGUUGUCUAUAUAUCAAAUUAUUUCAUGGAUUGGGCUCCUUCCCCUAUGCUCUCUAUUCGUGGAGACCUAACCCAUAGGUGUAAGUAACCUCCCACUCAAUAAUCUAGAAUCGACAAUUGAAACAUCUGAGGCUGCAUUAAUAAGGGAUACACAUCAGAAGGGUUUGCUUUAUUUACAAACUUCACCUUCAAUGAGUGUAGAUUUGAUAUAUAUUGUAUAUGUAAAUCCUAAAUAUAAAAAUAUGUAGAAUUCGUCCAUAAAAUCUAUCAUAAAUUCUCGGUGACCUUUCAUUUCUUUCUUCUAGAAAAUGUUUUGGAUUAGGUAUUAGACUUUAGAACUUGUUUUGGGCUAAGGUAAAAUCGACUAAAGUUUGAUCUUGGUUUUGUGUUGCCCUAAACUACAGGUUUUUAGAAAAUAUUACUCACAAAUAACCCCCUCGAGACUCUCUAUCAUAAUUAAAAUAUAUAAAGUGCUUGAAGAAAAAAAAAAGUACUAUUUACACAUUCAUUUUUACUUCCACACAACCUUAAUUUGUUGUCAUUGAUCUUUUUCAAUUCAUUCAAUUUUACAGUUGAAAAUUACGAAAGGUGUGUGAGAAGUAAAUAUAUGUGUUUGAUAGCACUAUCUUAAAAUAAAAACUCAUUGGCCGAAUGGUUAUUGAACCAUGUGCCAUAAGUUGACAAGUCAGGAAAGUUUUUUAUUAUUUUUUCUUUUUUUCUCUAUGAUUCUUAAAGUGCUUCUCCCUUUACAUUGAGAGUUAUCUACCAUCUUACACUAAUUAAUAAUAUUGUUACUUGGUCUCGUAAGUAAGGAUGAACUUCCUUCUUUAUCUUGUUAUUAAUUUAUGGGCAGUUUGUCAAUCAUUUCAUUUUCAGGUUUUGUUUUCACUUUUUAGAAAAUUAAUAAUUGAAAUUUUGUUCGGUAACUUUUUUUAGUUUUCAGUUGUUAAAAAAAAUAAAAAAUAAAAAAUGAAAACUUCUUCUUUGAGUUUUCAAAAUUUAGACCAAUCACAGUUUAAUAGAUGUGCAGAAACAGUUCGAGCUUACAUUGGGGGUUCAGUUCGUGUUCGGCUCAUCGAAGCUUAGCUCGUGAAAAAAUCAAGCCAAGCCUAGUUCAAAUCAAUUGAAAAACAAAUCAAACUUGAACAUUAGUAUGUUCGGCUCGUAAAGCUUGUGAGCAGCUUGAAAAUUUUUAUGAGACACUUCGAAGUAGGCUUGACCUCGGCUCGGUCAUUAAAGGUUAACAAUAAUAAUUAAAAAAAAUACAUGUCCUCAAUUAUUGAUUAAAAAAAAAUACAUGUCCUCAAGCUUGACAAAAUAAUAUUAAAAUUGUUGUACGCCUAAUUUAACUGAACAAUAUAAAGGCCAGAGAGAGAAGGGUGCGACGACAAUGAGAGAAAAGAGAGAUAUGUAAUUGUGAGGUCUGUGUUAUGUCACUUCAGUGUGCCUUUAUUUAUAGUAGUAUGGAAGGUAAAUUCCUUACUUCAAUAGAAUUACAACUUUAGUAGGACAAUAUAUAAUCUAAGAGAUAUGGUAGAAUCCCACAGGGAUAUCUCAAGAUAUGAUAAGAUUUACACGAUCACAUUCCUAAUCUAAUAGAACUGCAACACUCCACCGAAGUGUGUAAAUACUCAAAUAAAAUAUCUCAUCAGGUCUUUGAUGGAUGAAGUAGAUCAGUUGAUGAAGUUGUUGGCACAAUAGGCGAAUAUGAGUCUCAAAUUAACGAAAGUAUGCAUUGGUAGUAAAACUCAUAAAACCUCACUAUGGUAAAACCUAAAGUAGGUGAAAACCCACAUAUUAAGGAGAAACGUGAGAAGUAUGCAUAAUGUAAAAAACAAAAGUCAUACGGGACGAAAGUAGUAAACCUCAAAAGGGUAUGAUUAGCCCAAGAUGGGUGCCUUAUCAAAACCUCGUUAGGUAGUAAAAACUCAGUGGGAAAAAUGCUCUUAACAGUAAGGAAAAAGAGUACAUUAAGAUCAAGUGAGUAUACUUCUAGAUCCUCCCCUCUGAGUUUGACAAAACUUCCAAAAUAAUAGAACUACAAGCUAUUCAGGUUAGAAAGUUUACACAUACCGAUUCCUUGGACGAGUUUCAAAAAAGUAGACUUGGGCAAUAACUUUGUGAAGAGAUCGGCCAAGUUUUCCCUGUGAACAUAUUUGCUUGACUUCAAUGUUUUGAUGUUGUUGUUGCUGAUGAGAACAAAGGAACUUUGGCGCAAUGUGCUUGGUGUUGUCUCCCUUGAUGUAUCCCUUCUUCAGUUGAUCGAUACAAGCAACGUUGUCUUCAAAGAUCAUUAUAGGAACAUCAACGACGGUAGAAAGAUCGCUAGUACUUUGAAUAUGUUCCAUGACUGCUUUUAGCCAAAAGCAUUCACGCGUAGUUUCAUGCAAGGCUAGAAUCUCAGCAUGGUUAGAAGACGUCGUAACUUGGUAGACCUCCAAGAAAUUGCGGUGUCUUCAAUGGUAAAGACGUAGCCCGUUUGAGAACGUGCCUUGUGGGGGUCAGAUAAAUAACUUACGUUAGCAUAACCAACAAGGCGAGAAUCAACCUGAAGAUCGAAGGGGGUGAUGACACCCCUCCUUGCACCUUUGUAGUUUCGUCCCUGGGAACGACAAUGAUUGUUUAUGAGAAAAAUGAUGAGGAAUUUGUGAGAAAAUUUGAUUGGGCGAUGGUAGGUGUUUGCUCCCUAAAUCCUCCACGGGCAUCGCGGGCAAACCGGGGAUUUACUUCACAUACGAGAUUGGUGGGUGCGGGCGUGCCACUACUAGAUAUCGCUAGUAGACGGGAUUUGAAUGAUUGAGGUUGCGCCUUUUGACUUCAAAUCAAGAGAUUGUGCCAUUUGAGUGGGAGUUGCUCAAAUCAAGGUUCUUUCUUUGCCUUAAAAAUAAGGACUUUACUUAUAUAAAAAGAUAGAACAAUAUGUAAAUGACAAGGUUGUUUGGAAAUGUAAAUGACAGAGGAAAGUGACUAAUAUUGCAGAUUGUUUGUAAUUUAAAUUACUGAAGAUGAGUUGUACAUGAAAACUACAAAGGGGAUCGAUACUGCAAGUGAGCAGCAGAGCUAAUAAACUAGAUAAAAAAAGGCUUUUGGUGAAGGUUGAUCCUGAAAAGGAUGAAAAUUUGGUGCUGACUACAGCUUCGUAUGCAAAUCUGGCUUGAGCAGAGUUUGUGUAUUUGUUUGUUUGAUUGAGUGUUCAUAAUCCUUGUGCAUCUGCCCCUUUAAAUAGAGAUCUGAAAAAAGCCACAUGCUGAGAACCUUGUACUUGCCCGAAAGAAACUUGGGCAGCUUGCAUUGCUUUUGCCAACUUGCAUGUAGAAAUAAUAUUUAAAAGGGAAAUUUGCAUCUCCACCACAUGGUUUUAGCACAUGUCUCCCCAACUUGUAAUAAACUAACAAUUAAAAGAAGCAAGUUGACUUCUUUCAUAUUAUCCUUAUCCGAAAGCUCUCCCAUCCACUUGCAAUACAUGCAUGUAUCUUGAUUAAACAAAGGCUUGACAAACCUCCACUACCCAAACAAAUGGGAAAAACAAUAUUAUAGUGCCAAACCUAUCCACUUGUACCCAAAUAUCUUUCCAAGUUAGCUUUCUUGCAUAUUAAUAUUCAAAUACCAUAUUUUACCUUAAUGGCCCAAAUAAGUAAAAAUAGGCACAUUUUGGGUGCAAACGGUAGGGAUUUGAUUUUGUUGAGUUUUGUAAGAUCGAUUUGAUCGAUUUGAUCGAUUUGACCGCAAAACUCAGUCUGCAUAGUGGGUAUACUACUUAGACUGUAAUUUGCAAAUAAAAGAGGAAUGACAAAAAAUGUCCAUUUAUAGUUUUCCAAGUUAAGAGUGGGUUUGCGGCUGAAUUUAUUUGACAAAGUGAGACCCAAAUCCCCAAAUCAAAGUUCCCAAACUCAAAACUCAAAUUGAAGCCCAAAAAUAUCACUUGGGCCCGCAAAAGGUGCUGCUCAUUGUUGCUGUUUGCACCUUUUAGUCGGUUGAGAGAGAGUUCAGACAACGGUUGUAUUUCCCGGCCCGAACUUCUUUCUAUUUACCUUUCUCUGCCACCCCAAAACGGAUAACAAAUACACACAGCAUAAACCAGAGGCUGAGCAGAGCGCUUCAAAAACAAUGGCUGCUCUAACUCUAAGCAUUGGCAUCGCCACCACCAGCUCAGCUCUACUUAAAAGGCCGAUGCCGCGUCGUCCGAGGGCCGCAAGAAUUUCCUGCAUUGGAUGGGUACCCCUCAAACUCUGCUUCCCCAAAACUUCAUAGCAAAUCCGAAGAAUAACAUUUUUUUUUAUUUACUCAAAUUUUGAAGUGUUUUGGAAUUUGAUUUGUUGUUUAAUCUAAGGAAGGACCCGGAGGGUGUAUUGGGACCACCGCAGACGGGCCAUUUGGCUCGGAUAGAGUUCAAGAGGCGGUUGGAAAAAGACGCCGAUGCUCGAGAAGAAUUCGAACGCCAAGUCAUUGAAGAGAAAGAGCGGCGUCGAACUGUUAGAGAAGUAAAUUGACAAUUGGGUUUUGAAUUUUGUUGUAACACUUGUUAAAUAAUUAGUUUUUGGGUUUGAUUGUUUUGUGUUUGUGUUUGUUUGAAGUCCCGGGUUGCGCCAGAUACGGCGGAGGAGUUGAUAGAGUACUUUCUCAACACUGAAGCUCGGGAGAUUGAGUUCGAGAUUUCGAGGUUGAGGCCAAGGUUGGUGAUUUAAACCCAUUUCUGUGUGAAGACUGAUUAGAAAGCAAAAAAGUAGGAAUGCACGCCAAUUGUUUGAGGAGAUGCUUCAAUGAAUAAAAAGUUUGAUAGCAGCUCACUUUUUUGUGCGUGGACAAUGCGUGUAUGUAUGGCCUUAUGGCCUAUGAAAUAGUAUAGUGGGGGGAAGAUUUUCUACUUUUCAAUGUGGGAUUUUGGGAUCCCUCACACUCCAUUCUUCCGUGUAUGACAUCCUCGUUUGCUCAUCCCAUCUGACGCUGACCUGAGUAGCCCUUUCCACCCUUUCGAGGCGGCUUUCACUAUACUAUUGUAAUGCCAAUGUUUUUAAGUUUUUUAAAAUCCUUCAAUAAGUUGCCCCAUCAGUGGACUCUCGCCCAGACGUGUGGUAAAACCAGGUCUUGAUACCAAUUGGAAACGAAGGUGGCCAAGAGCUCAUAUAGACGGAUAGACCUCAUAUAACGAACUGUUAACAUUGAUAUGUCACAUGAAGUUUAGGUUUUUCAAUUGUAUGUGAUAUACUUUCCAGUUAGUUGCCAACUUACAACGAUUAGAAAGCCACUUCAUUUGAGCAAAUGCAGUUAUCAAUAUGCCAAACAUUUACUUUUUAUUGUUUUGUUAUUUGUUUGGUUUUGCACAUUUGAUUUUUUCCCCAAGUUAAAUUAACUCAAAGUGGCACUAGUGCUUCCCAUUUACUCUUUCUUGCACUCCAAUUUAUCUCUUCUGUAUUAUUUAUGCAUAUUAUAAAUAUUUUUUAUGAAAAGUUUCUCCACAAACCAUCCUCGUUUCCCCAAUUUUUCCCCUUGCAUAUGUUUUAUGCAGAUUGGACAAGGAGUUUUUCUCGCACUUACAAUAUGAGCUAGGUCAGCUUCGGUUUUCUGUUUCAAAAACUCAGGUUCCUUACUGAAUCUAUAAAUUUGGGUUAAUUUCUGAAACUAUACAUUCAGCUUCUUCACCGAAACUAUGCAUUCGGUUUUGUGAUGGUUUUUUCAGGAUAUAGAAGAUAGAUUGAUUGAGCUGGAAGCAUUGCAGAAGGCCCUGCAGGAAGGGACAGGUCUGUUAAGAGUUCACGAACUUUUUUUAUAAAGACUUGGUGUUCUUGCCUGCUUACUGAAGUGCUCCAUUUUCUGUUACAGAAGCAUAUGACAAAAUGCAAACCGACCUCAUUAAAGCAAAGCUAAGUCUGACCAAAGUUCUGUCUUCAAAGGAUGUAAAAUCAACUGUAUGUGCUGCCCUUUUAACUCAUUGAGCGUUAAGUUUAACAAUUAAGUAGUUUGUAUUGCUCAACUAAAUAAAUCUUGACAAUGCAGUUACUAGAGAUGGUUGAACACAACGAGCUGAAUAGAUCCUUCUUGACUCUUCUUGACGAAAACAUAGCAAAUGCGCACAAGGGUAACCAGGUAAAUCGCCUUGGGAAAGCUUCUUUCAUAUUGCCCGAGAUAAUUCAUUUCAUCCUUUGUUUGUAUUUCUGGUUUUUUAGCAGAGAAUAAAACAUACCGUAGUCAACUUUAACAUGCUAUGCAACAUAUUUUUUUAUUACCAGAAAACUAAAAAGUAGAUGUUGUGAUAUUGGUUAAAUAUAUUAUGAAUGCAGUAAAAAAUACAAGGAAGUACAUUCUCUUAAUUGUGUACUCAACUUAAAAAGUGCAACUUAGUUCCUUUUGUCACCACACUGCUCAUUGAUGAACACAAAGCUCAGUCUUGUACGAUGGAAAAAAACUGCCUGGAUCUUAAUACUACGGUCUAUUGGUAUUCCUCUUCACUUGUAAGUGAGAAGUCUUAGGUUCGAUCUCAUGGAUCACGAGUUCAAAACUAAUUUAUUCCUUCCACCCCUUAGUGUAAAUAUAUCAUUGUAUUCGAAAAGAAAAGAGCACCUAUAGAUAGAAUUAGAUGAGUAGUAAAGCUGGAAGAGAUUUUGGUUGUAGAACUUGAAUCAUGGUAAUUAUAUUUAGGUCACUUCAUUUUCAGUGGAUGUAAUGAUCUUCUUUAGAUCCAAGUGAAGCAGUAACCCAACAACUUAUCUUGUAUACCAACUCCUUAAAUUAAAGAGUUCUUGAAACAGACACGUAAAACACACAAAAAGUGACCUUUAAAUCUAAUUCAGUAAUUGCAUCCGUGGUGAACUAAACUCCGAUGAUCUAUAUCAAUGUUAAUUUAUGAUUUACAGAAGCAAGCAGCAGAGUUCAUGGAAAAGGUUCGUGGGGCUGUUCUCAAGUACAUCACAGCUUAGUUCUGCGGAGGUAAAUAUUAAGUGCUCGAUUAGUCUUUAGAUGGACGUUCAAUAACAUUAUUGUACUACUACAUGCUUUGACAUGCAAUAAUAUAUGUAGCGUGACAUCCUACAUCUUUCUACUAUUACGAGAAAAUCAUAGAAUUCAUCUUCAUCACCAAAAGUAUAAGUGAUAGUUACAGGAAAUUUGUUUCACAUGAAUGGAAACAAAAAGCUGUCAAUAUGUGGUAGGAUGACACUGAUUUAUACAACGUUGUAGUAAAUUGAUAUGCAUUCUAGUAAACAAUGGUUAUGGAGUCGAUUCAUUAAUUUUCUUGUUCAUUAAUCGAAACACUGUUCGAGAGACAUGAUUCUAUUUUAUCAUCCAUCCUAUCACCGUUCAUGUUUUUUCUUUUCCUUGUAAAUGAAUAUAUCACUUAACACAUAGAUUCAUAGAAAUGAGAAACUAACAGUGUAUUUCCUUGAAAGCACUUAAGAAGCAGUGAUCCGAGAAAGUGGUUACUGAUUUGGAAAGCACUUAUUGACAAGCAUAAAGUAAAAUGCAGUAGAAUUCAGAAACAGGAGCUUCUGCUUUUUUUACAAUCAUAUGUAUGCCAAGUAAUAUAUCAGAGAGAUGCUCAACACAAAUCCAGCCACAGGAAUUUUUUUUUGCCAAAAUUUAAGCGCGAAAUAGAAUAUGUCGUUUUUGUGUGGUUAUCCGGCUUAUUACGGAGGGAGUAGGAUUCUCCCCCCUCUAUUCUCAUCCUCUUCCCUCUCCUCCUCUCACACUUUAUUUUUUUUAUCUUUUUGUCCCUAUAAAAAAAAUCGAUAUAAGAUGUUGAUGUGGCUGAAUUGUAACCAUUCAAGUAUGAGGGGAGAGAAGGAUACUCCUCCAUUAUGAGUACAGAUCAAAUGCAUGCGUGCUACUAUUCGGCUUGGACAGAACCAAGUGUCUCUGAUUGGUGCAUGUUUGUGUUAAGUUAGUGGCUAUGUAUCUGGGUUUGUCAACGAGCUCUGGGAUCACAUAAUUUUUCCUUACUUUCUGUGUGUGCUUUUAGAUGAUGGUGGGUGGUAGGGAUUUUUGUAUUACUUAAUCCAGUUAAUUGAGAUAUUAUGCUUAAAGCCUUUAAAGCAUAGUUAUUCAAGCCCAUUUUGCCCUUCAGGCGCGGGAUUAUGUGAUCAGCCAGUCGAUCCACUGGUCGCCUAGAAGUAUCCCCGCUUUUGAAGUAUUUCGUGUAACUAUUAGUACUCUUAAAUUAGUUAUUGAAGAAUUUAGUUUUUGGGUGGAAGAUUGCACAAGGUAGGCCAAUUAACGGUAACUCAACACUAGACUGACAAUGUUGUUGGCCAAAUCCUACUUUGAUUCUGCUUUUGCCCCACCCUAUAAAAAUCAAUGUAAUAAAGUAGAUAACUAGGUGCUUUGGGAUUAAUUAAAAUGGUUAGGCUUACAUUAACUCCACACGGUAGAUGAUAAGAUGUAGAUUUAUUUUCUCUAGAAAAGGGCUAGUAGCUUCGCCACCGAGUUCAUCCUUUUGGGAAUUGUGAAGACUUACAUAAGCAUUUCGGCAUUUUAUGACCAUCAUCAUGUGAUUCACCAACUCUAAGAAUCGAAUUCAGGAUUUGGAUCUUAUAUGGAUCCUUAUUGUGAGGAUUGUAGGGAUCUUUACAUCUAUCUGUUCAUCGUGUGUGGUCAAAAAUUAUUUUAAAUUUUUUAUUUAAAAUUAUACAAACAGUAUCUAAUGAAAGCUGACCCCACAAAAAAAAUUCGGAGAAGAUCUUCAUCCCGAAUUCAGGAUAAGAUAUAGAUUUAAAACAAAGGAAAACUGGUGAUCUUUAAAAUCCUUGCAACCAAACAAAGUUUAAAAAAUGUAAACAACAAUAAAGAGACUACAUAGGUAAUAAAAAAAGACGGAAAGUAGUAGAAGAAGAUAAAGGAAAAGUAGGCAUGUGACCGCUUAUUUUUUUCCUUUGUUACUUUAACUUAAUUUAAACUACGAGAUGGAAGAUUUGAAUUUAAAAAGAAAAAGAAAAUACAUGUGUUCUAGUCAAUGUCGAGUUAGGAGAGAUUCUGGGCAGGAGUGCCUACUUUUGGCCAUGCGAGCACUUCUAUUUUCCUUUUAUGCAAACAAAUAUUUUACUACGAACUAUUCUAAGUUACGAGAAAAAAGAUUUAAAUUCGAAUGCACAAGAGAAGCAUAUCCAUUCUAGCCAACAUGAUUACGUCCAUUUCUACGUUUGCUUGCGGUGUUUUUAUUUAAUCUCCAACAAAGUAAAAAGCCUUGUGAGUUCCCUCUAUAUUAGCUCUCACAAUCAUCCAAACCUACCCAUCUCUAUCCCUACAGACAUGGCAAGACUCGGAGAUAUAUUCCUUUCCUUUCUAGUCCUUUUCUUCAAUGUUUGUUCCAUUGGCACGGCAUACUCUGCCGGCGCCGCCAUUGCCAGACACUCAAGCUCCACAGAUUUCAUCAAAGCAUCAUGCAGAACCACCCAGUACCCUGCCCUCUGUGUCCAAAGCCUUGCAGCCUACGCAAGUGCAAUAAGGCAAAGUGAAAGGCAACUAGCUCAAACUGCCUUGACAGUGAGCCUAGCCCGGGUGCGGUCAGCCACGUCUUUUGUGACAAAGCUGACUAGGGUUAGGGGGAUCAAGCCUAGGGAGUACAGAGCUGUAAAGGACUGCAUAGAAAACAUGGGGGAUAGCGUCGACCGGCUCGGUCAAUCGGUCCGGGAACUAGGGCAUAUGGGGAGAGCGUUUGGGCAGGACUUCAUGUGGCACAUGAGCAAUGUGGAGACAUGGGUUAGUGCUGCACUCACUGAUGAAGGAACUUGCCUUGAUGGAUUUUCUGGUCGUUUUAUGGAUGGGAAUAUAAAGAAUGCUAUAAGAAGAAGGGUCAAUAAUGUUGCUCACGUCACUAGCAAUGCAUUAGCACUUGUUACUCGCUUUGCUGCAAAACACAAGAACUGAUUUUCACAACACUUGUUUUUCUCUUUGCACGUCCCUGUUUAUUUAGCGUUUGGAUUGAAUAAAUCAAACGAGAAUCAAGAGACUGAAACAAUAGAGAUGUGCAGAUGGAGAAAAGGGGUGAGUGAAAAUCGUUUCCUGUAGAGGUUAUAUGUAAAUGUUAAAUGGAAGAACAUCUACCUUGUGUAAUAUAUGGGAUAUUGUUUGUUUUUUCUUUUUCUGUUGGUUAAUUAUAAUCAGUCAUUAGUGAGAACUUUGUUGAGCUCAAAAUGCAAGAACAUAUCCCAUCCAGAUUGCCCUUUUGGUUAUAUAUAUAAUUAGUGAAACUAAAAGAAGCAAGAUGAUUAAAGUUGUCAAUCUACUUGAUUAGCAUUUUCUAAUUACCAUGUUCUUGUAAGUUUGGCAGUAUUGAAUCAAGUGACCACUAAGAAUUUUGAAACUUGAAUGUUGAUACGGUUGAAAAUAAUCUUAUUGGAUCUAAACCUUCAAGAAAAUUCUUAUUAGGGUUGAUGACAUAUUUACUUGCAUGGAAUGCUUAUUGUAAUUGUUACGAUUUCUAAUUCUGUUGCUGCUACUACAAAGUAUUUAGAGUACUUCGCUUCUUAACUUAUACAAUGUUUACUAACACAUGAAAUAAAAAAAAAAUUUGCGAGUGUCAUUAAAAUUCAUAAUCCACAAGAGACGUGCGAGAUUGAUUGUAGGGCAAUUGGUCGCAUAUCCACUUAAUUAAUUUUGUAGUUUUUUUAUUUUGUAUUUUUGAAAGAGCUGAUUAGAUUAAACCAGAAGGGAGCCACAGAGAGGGCAAGAGAGCCAGCAAGGCUAACAGGCCUUAACGGCAACAAUAAGAGAGGAAAGAUUACAGACAGACACAAACAAGAAUUGCAUCAACCCAUCCUCCCAUCAACCAAAAGCUACAACGGGGGGCACGGAAGGCCAUCUUUGUCGUUAAUAGCAAACAAAAAGUAAAAUGGGGAGCUUUGUUACAGAAUAUGACUGACAUAUUUUCCCCUUUUUAUUUAUAUGUAAGCGUGACAAACUCUUUCUGAAUCCAAAACUUUAUUAAACCUGUCUUGUUCUUUUUCCUAUCACUAUCAGUAUCAAAAUCUAUUAAUCUUAAGAUUAUCUCCAGAUUUUAGGUCAUUGUUAUCUUAUCUGGUAAUAGUUGUAUAGAUAGGCCAUGUUUGGUCUACGUUGAGUUAGAGUACUCUUCCUUUUGUUGCUGCAUUGCUGCUUGUAUAUAAAGGAACAAUGAUGGAGACAUUUUCUUUCGAAUGAUACCACAUGAUAACUAUUUAAUAAAUUGAUAAUAUCAGUCAAAUAUUUGACAAUUAUUUGUUGUGCUAUUGAGAUAAUAUACUGGUUGUUCUCCUCCGCUGAAUGAGAGGAGAAAACAAAAAAAAAAAAUUAAAAACAAUAUGUUAGUGAUGUGGUGAACAGUAGAGAAUUAGUUUGGGAAGAAACGUGAUACACACAUCUUCCCACAAUUUUUUUACGAACUCUGAAGUUGUUGACCCUAGAAAUUACAAAGCCUACGUGGCGCGUAGGCCAAGUAUAUUCUAAGCUAACUACGUCCUUCGGUGAUUGCGGGCGUGCCAACUCGUCGGCCGAGGCUCGGCCGAGGAGUAAAUUUGAUGAUGCUGCGUUGGGUCGCGCUACUGACUUCUGCGUCUUGCGAUUGCGGCCGAGAAAGGAACACGUCUCGGCCUCUUGGGUUCUCGAGCCUGAAGACAAAGCUGCUAUUUCUUACAAAGUUCACGAACCGAAUUCGGCUUGCAAUGUGCCGAAUGUAAUAACUGUGACACCUCACCUCGCCGAGAAGGCUAAUGAGAUGACCUCGACCAACAAGGAUUCGAAAACCCUUCUCGACCGAGACUUGGAUAGGUAAUCGACCGUUCUCGCCGCAGUGCUGUUGAUGCCAACGGAAGAUACUGCGAGACCGACCGACUCUACGGUGACAGAGCUAUCUAUGCCGACUUAAGAUAUCACCGGUUGCUUCCACAGUGCUGUUGAUGCCAACGGAAGAUGUGUCAGCGAAAAAGGAAAAGAAAAAGAUCUCAAGUUGUGAGAGUUUGCGCAGGGCAAUUUUGUAUUGAUUUUGUGGGGCUCAAAUGGUGCUUGCAGCCUGGUAUUUAUAGAAGCAGAUGUGUGCCGUUGCUUCACCAAUAUAGAAUUUGAUUUUAACUCAAACUCGUCAACUAGACUUUCGGUCAAAGGCUUCCAACAGCCUAUCUUUUAGAUACCAUGCUGGAACCAAAGCGUUAUCUCCUAUUUAUUUUAACAGGACUCGGCAAUAAAGGACACUACCUCUAAUAAUUCCAAUGCAAGUUCAAAUCUUGAUCCAUCCACCAAGCGUGUCCAGGUGCAUGAAAAUCAAUUUCACUUGUGCUAUGACUCUGAAAACUUUAUCUUUAUUUCUUUGCCAAUGCCCAUGCCUUAUCACAUCAACCAAAGGACUUUUUCAUCUUGAAAAUCUGACCUUGACAUGCAAUCCUAGUCAAAGAUUCAACCUCAAAAUCCACAUGUCCCUUUUGUAGCAACCUAAUGUAGUUUAUAUGAUUGGAUGCUUGGCACCUCGCCAAGGAUAUUCGGUGGUGCUCCUUGAUCAAUUCGCACCCUCCAGGAUUAUCUUAAUAUUUUUUCAAGAUAAUUACUACAAUAACCCAAUAGCAAUAUCUAGAAAAAUAUGAAAUCCAACGGUCUAGAACCCAAUCAUUCAACGGCCUUGUUCGAGCCGAUAGUGUAAAAUCGGGUCCAAACAGAAGUAUAAAAGCAUUUUCUGGAAUCAUCUCUUAGGUUUUAUCAUCAAAAGCCGCGUAACAAUGUACACAUCUGGAAAUAUGUAGCUCCUCUGUUCGCUUUCUUGGCUUUAAACUUUGAUUAUAUUGGUACUAAUUAUUCUCGUAGUUCUUAUUUAUCAAAAAAAAAAAAGUACACAUCUGAAUUUUAAUGAUACGUGAUGAUCAUACAUGUAUACUGUAAUAAAUAAGAAUGACAUGAUCAGACGUUUAGUCUUGUAAGUUUGUGUAACUGACCGUAGUUAGUUUUUAUAUAAAAACUAAUGAGAAGUCAACUAGGCACGAAAACGUCCCUUAAGCUUAGUCUAUUUUGUGAAGAAAAUGGGAAGAGUUCCCCUCUGGAUCUCUUUCAUCAAAGCUCACCAAUCAAUUAAUUCGGGUCCUUGAAACUUGAUCAAACGGCUACAAAUAUGGGGUCCCUUUAAAAGUUAUAAUAAUUUUAACCGUUUGAUCAAAUUCAAAAAUUCGAAUGAAUUGAUUGGUGGGUUUUGGUGAGAGAGAUCGGGACGGGAUCUCUUCCCAAAGAAAAUGUCGAUUGCAAUGUGAUUAUAUUAUUUAAAUCUGCAGAUGACCAAAUUAGGUGUGAAUUGAUUUUACUUGUCACGAAUGCAAUGCCAAAAGAGAACGAGGAUCGUCUCCGAAUUCUCUUUGUGAGGAUCCUGGAAAUUAUCCAAUCACAUCUGUUCAUUGUAUAUCGUGUGGCUAUAAAUUAUUCUAAAUCUUUAUAUUUAAAGUUAAAUAUAAAUAGUACAUGAUAAAAACUGACCACAUGAUGAACAAUGAACAUAUAUAAUCGUUAAAAGAGAUGAAGCAAAAAUCAAUAUAAAAGUUUGGGUUCCUUGUUUCAAAAGUAAUAAGUUUAUACUUAAAAAGUUGUAACAUUUCUGCCAUCUCUCAUUGCAUUCCAACUAAGCUGUUAAACUAAUAAAAGGAGUUUUAUACUCAAGUAAUCAACCAAGUUAUUGAGCUAAGAUGGGGAAUUUAAUCUAAUGAUAUUCUCUUCAUUUAUAAAUAAGAGGUUUUAAGUUUGAUUCUUACUAAAGAAAAAUUUGAAUUACAUUAUUGCUAAUCUAUUAUGAGACUUAACCUACUCUCACACCCCAUAAUGUAGAUAAUAUCAUUUGUUAAAAAAAGGGUAAAUCUCAGUUUACUACCCUCGAGUUUCAUGGUUUUCAACGUUUGAUACAUGAAGUUUUUUUCAUCCCUGAGUCAUACCUAAAGUGUUAAUUUUGGGAUAGUCUCAUACAUCCGUUAGUAUGACUGUUAAGUCUCCCGUUAACUAAUGAUGUGACUUUCAUAUGGACAAUGACUGGACAUCACGUGUCAUUAAGGGUCCAUGUGGAAAUUAAAAAUUAAUUUUUUUUUUGGGUCAUCUUCUACCUCCCCCGACCUUCCCUCCUCCCUUAUUCGUGCAUUCUCUCCUCUGCACAAACCCACCAAACCCUCCUCUCCUCUUCUCUUCGACUCGUCAUACAUCCACCAUUCCCCCUCCAUAUUCGAUUCCACCCAACUCCUUACCAUCUUCCCAAAAUCAUUUCCUUAUCGCCAAAGACAAAAAAUUUGGCUCUAUCCCAUUCGCUAGAUUUUCAAGAAAAGAUGCAUUCGAGUUCUGCAAAAUGGCACCCAGAUUGCCAUUUUUGGAGCUGGAACCUUCGUCAAGACCCAAUACGUUCCAAGGCUCUCUGAGAUCUCCAACCUCCUUGUUCUUCGCGGCAGGCACCCCCUUCCCCACCGCCGCUUCUUCUCCAGAACCUCGCCAAAACCCACUUCCUCUCUUCCAAUAAAUCUGUUUCCUAAAUCGCUUCCGGACUCCAAUGUCUUGCGGGUCAAAUAUUUCGUGUUGCUGGAGAGCGCUUUUGGAGGGUCGAACUGCAGCUUCAAGAGAAGGUAAUAUGUGGUUAAUCUCUUCAAAUCGGUUUCCGGCUUUCUCUAGACCCAACCCUAUGCCCUGUGAUUUCUGUAAGCUUAGCCUCAAUGCCUUGUUUGCAAAUAUCAAGCUCUCAAUGCUAUUAUCAUUCACGGAAUGCGCCAUUCAAAUCCUAAAAUCACGCAAAAAAAACCCCAAAAAUCAAAAGUUGCAAAACUACAAGUCACACACAAAUUGGGAGCAAAAAGAAAAAAACAACUUUAAGCAGCUAAAUGCAAUAAAAUCGAAAUUCGUCUUUUCUUAUAUUCCUUUAUAAAGUGAUUUUUUCUCAAUUUCUCUAGGAAUUAUCAAAAAAAUCUCAUCUGGGUCCUCACCAAUAGAAACCCAAAAGCUAAGAAAGAACAGAGAAAUCUCACCAAACCCACAAAAGCAAAAGCAAAAACAAAGCAAACCCAAAUUUUCAUGAGUUAAAGACAUACAAGGAACGAAUGAGAAGUUAUACUCAUUUGAAGUUGGAGAGAGAUCCAGUUCACCCGGCCGAGUCGAUUUUGGGAAAAUGGUAAUGAGUUAGGGUUGGGUGGGUGGGUGGGUGGAGUUGAAGAUGGAAGGGGAAUGGUGGAUGUAUGACGAGUCGAAGAGGAGAGGAGAUGAGUGUUUGGUGGGUUGGUGCAGAGGAGAGAAUGGAGAGAUAAGGGAGGAAGCGAAGGUUGGGGGAGGUAGAAGAUGACCAAAUCUUUUUUUUUUUUUGAAUUUUUAAUUUUCACAUGGACCCUUAAUUAGGGGUGGGUUCGGUUUAAAUCGGUUCGGUUUUUUGCCAAAAUCGAAACCAAAUCGAAAUUUCGGUUCGGUUCAAUUUCUUUUUGGUUUUUUUCAGUUCGGUUUUUUUUCGGUUCGGUUUUCUCCCGUUUGGUUUUGGUUUCGGUUUCGGUUUUUUGUUUUUAUUUUUUUUCAAAAAAUUAAAAACAUUGAAAUUUUAAAUUUUAACAUAUCCAACACAAUCAUAACAUAAAUAUUCUAACUAGAAUCAAAGACAAUGAAAAUAAACAUUUAAAGUUGAACUAAAAUCAUCAAUCAAGUCUUCCUAAGUCCAAACUAACAACCUCACAACACAAAAAUCACACAAAAAUCGUACAAAUGACGUAGAAAAGUUAAAUUGUAUGAUGUUGUUCAAAGAUCGGGGUUGUUUGCUUGUAACUGCAUGUUGACAACUUGAUUAGUAAAGGUAAUGCGUGGGUGGAUUUAUUUAGUGUGUGUUGGAUUCUUUUCCAUCACAAAUUACCCAAGUAAUCUACCCGAAAUAAAUGUUUAUGGAUUAUGUUACAUGUUAUAUGAGAGUAGAUUUGGAAAAGAAAGCUGGCGCAGAAGUAGACAGUGCUAUGGAGAUGGAUGUAGGUACUUCGGGAAGAGGUUUGGUUCCGGAACCUUAUAUGGGGGAGAAAUAAUAGGUUAGGGUUUAGAGUUUUUAUAGGCAUUUUUUUAAUAUUUUGAGCUUAAAGUUUGGCACAUUGGGUUUAGCACAUUUUAACUUACAAAUUGGGUUUAGAAAAUAAUACCCAAAACAAAUAAUUAAAUAAAAAAAUUAAUUUAAUUAAUUCGGUUCGGUUUGGUUUGGUUCGGUUUCUAGAUCACUAAAACCGAACCGAACCAAAAGAAUUCGGUUCGGUUCGGUUCGGUUUUUUCAAUUCGGUUUGGUUUUUUCGUUCGGUUCGGUUUUUUCGGUUUGGCUUGGUUUUCGGUUUUUUUUCGGUUUUUGGUUUUUUGAACCCACCCCUACCCUUAAGGACACUUGGCGUCCAGUCAUUGUUUACAUGGGCACCACGUCAUCAGUUAACAGGAGACUUAACAGCCAGACUAACAGAUGUAUGAGACUGUUCCAAAAUUAACACUUUAGGUAUGACUCUUGGACGAAAUAAACUUCAUGUACCAAAUGUUGAAAACCACGAAAGUUGAAAGUAGUAAACUGAGAUUUACCCUAAAAAUAAAAGUUCAUGAGAGCAAUCUUGACAAAAAUAUGAGAGCAAUUUGUAUAGAACUGUUGGUUAUUUAUUUUAUUUUCUUAAAAAUUCAAAACUUUAUUUAGUAUUAUUUUAAAUAAUAAAUAUGAAGAGUCAUAUCAAUUAGAGAAGUCAUGUUUUUUUACCAAAGGUUAUAUAGAGUUUUAUAAAGGGAGUUUUAACAAAAAGCUCGCGGUACUGUUCACUUUAAUGAAAAACCACAUUUUUACACUAAAAAAUCAAACAUGGUACUAUUCAUUUUACCCCUUAUUUUGUCCUUAUAAUUAAAACUCAAAGUUUUUAAACCUUUUUUUUAUUAGUUUUCCUUUUUAUUAAAUGGGGAACUCCUCAAAUGUUAAUAAAACAUUCAAAUGUCUUCCUUCUCUCCCUACUACAGUACUCAUAUAUAAUCCUUAUUAUCUUCCUACUCAUCUUGAUCAUCAAUGGGCAAUUGAUCACUACUUGGCAUCGCGUCUACCGUAAUUGUGCUUAUGGAUUAGAUACUCUGUGAGAUUCAAGAGUUGUAUCUUGGAGUUGUAGAUAGCCGUUAUAACCGGCACGUAGGGAGGCGUCUACGGCUUUAGGACAAUGACAACACGCUUCUCUUGAUAUCACAGGCUAGAUCAUUCUUUAUGUUUUCCCUUUUACUGUUUUAUUUAUUGAUAUAUGUGUUUGAUGCAUUUGGGUAUUAUCUAAUUGAUUGAAGUUACAUGUGUAUUAUGAUCAUAAUAAUUUAUAUUAUCCUACAACUAAAGCCGUAAAUCGUAUGAUAAUAUAAUUGCAAAUUUACAAUCCAUUUCACUGUUCCUUUAUAGGUGUUACUGCCAUUGGAGUAAUUUUAUUCACAUCUAUUUUACAAUCCAGAAAUCUACGCAAGGCAAAUGUGUAUAACAAUUACUAUAUCAAACCCAGCCGUACAGGGUAACCUAGGUUCUUUAUUCACUAAUGUAGUUGCAAAGAAAUAAUAUAUAGUUAAUAUUGUGUAUAUAGUUAAUACUGCAUAUAAUUUUGUCCUAAAGAAAAUUAAAUGUGCCUUGUGUUUUGGGAAAAAAAAAAAAUAGAAACUGAACAAAUGUCACUUAAAUAUCUCAUUCUUGAAAUUGCAGUAUAAAACUAGACCUGUUUGCUAAUGACCGAAAGUUCUGUUUCAGUUUGAUUGCAUCUUAUCAUAUUCUUGCAGAGUAUAAUUUACAAAUGUAUAAAAGGGUAAAUGAAGUUUGACCUAGAAACUGAAUUUUGUUUUCAUUUGGCAAUUGAAAUAUCGUUUCAUCAAUCAUGUAUAUGCAUAAUUACUUUAUGCAUGUUGUCUCGAAAUUGUUGAGGCAAGGGGAACGAAUUUCAUUGUUAAAUAGUUGUCAAAAUUUCAAAUGAGAUUGUCGGCAUAUGAGUUGUUAUACAUUUUGUGAUUUAACUUAUAAUAUAUUGACUUUGUGUUUGCAUAAGAAUUUCUUACUGGAAAACUAAUGAGUUAUUUAAUUAUUUAAGAUCUGGGUGUAUCGAUAAUUCUCUCUAGAAGAGAAGUGGGAUUAUUCAAUUUGAUCUUUUCUCUUAAUCAGGAAAUGGUUCCAUUCCUAGACUAUCACAUUACGUUACUUGCAUUUGCAUAUUAUUUAUUUUCAUAGAUUACACGUGAAAUUAUUGAGAUUUUUAGCAUGUGUUCAACUUCUAUGCAGUUAGUUAUAACAUGUAGGUUUAAUAGCGUUGACGAGCAAAUAUAUGACCAGUAAACUUAUAUAUGCCUUGUGAAGGCAAUCAUAAUUAAUAAAAUGACUUGUUAGUCAUUUAUCUGCAUGCCCCGGGGAGGCUAAAUGUAAAAUUGUUGAGGGGGAUGUGCUUAAGCCCCGUAAGGGAGUCACCUAGGGAAGAAACCCAACUUCUGUGAUUGGAGAUCCCAUGCAGGAAGUUCAAUGUGGUAGAAACAAUCCAUACUGCGUGAUUCAUAAUAGCACUCAUGUUAUAUUGACGAUAUCCAUGAGAUAUUCUUCCGCUCAUCCUUAUGGCAUUAGUGCUAUUUUAUGUGAAGUUAGGAAGGGUAUUAACCCUGAAUGAGUUUCGAGGCGGGCAAUCUCCUGCAGGGUACAUGUCACAUGUACUCUUGGAGAACUCACCUAAGUGAGAGUAGUUGUGAGGCCACAAUUGUGAGGAUUGGGCUGUUCUCUAAUAACUCUCAUGAGAAUCAAGAUUAAGCGCAUGGCCAUAAAUAGCGCUAACCCGUGCCAAGUUUUUUAUCGAUACCAUGUGUGUUACAUUUUGUACUUUGGUCAAAAGGGAUCUAAUUCAAGACAUAGUUCACUAUGAUUCCUUCAGAUGAAAGUUGUUAACACUAAGUGUAGGUUCAAGUUCAAAAGACACCUACAUCCAUUGCAUGGUAUACAAGUUGCCCAAAUUUCUUCCAUUCAUAUAUAUUUAUGUCUUCUACACUUCUGUGGAGUUUUGAAUCUUGUGGGGGAUUGUUGGUUAUUUAUUUUAUUUUCUUAAAGAUUCAAAGCUUUAUUUAUUAUUAUUUUAAAUAAUAAAUAUGAAGAGUCAUAUCAAUUAGAGAAGUCAUGUCUUUUACCAAAGGUUAUAUAGAGUUUUAUAAAUUGGGAACUCCUCAAACGUUAAUAAAACAUUCAAAUGUCUUCCUUCUCUCCUUACUAUUAGACACUCUGUGAGAUUCAAGGGUUGUAUCUUGGAGUUGUAGAUAGUUGUUAUAACCGGCACGUAGGGAGGUGUCUAUGACUUUAGGACAGUGACAACACACCUCUCUUGAUAUCACAGGCCAUAUCAUUCUUUACCUUUUCCUUUUUACUGCUUUAUUUAUUGAUAUAUGUGUUUGAUGUAUUUGGGUAUUAUCUAAUUGAUUGAAUUUAUAUUUGUAUUAUCCUACAAAAACGGCUUGACCGGCACAUAACAUUUUUGUGUAAUAAUAAAAUGUCGUGUAAUGAAAAUUUAUACAUACAUUAUAUUUUUAGUUCAAAAUACCAAGGCAACAAUUAUGGGUUUCAUAUGAGUUUCUUCUUGAAAUUCAAGCUUGGUGGGAGCCUAGAAGGCACUUAACAGGAGUAGGAUUCUCGCCUUUGUUUCUCUCCUUUCACACUUCUCCUUUUGUCUAUUUCUCUUUAUAAAAAAUUCAAAAGAUACUAACGUUGCUAAAUGAUAACUGUUUAAAUAAGAGGAGAAAAAAAAAGAAAAAUAGGUUAGAAGAAGAAAAGAUCCCACUUCCAGGACUUGGGAAUAAUUUUUUUAGGGGAUAAGGACAUUCCCAGUCCCCACAAAAGUGAUUUGUGUGAGCUGCAAGAAAAAGCGGGGAGCAGACAAUAUACCAUGGAUGUCACGUGGAUAUAGUUUCAUUCUGUCUUGGAUUUCUAUGAUUUCAUCCGCCUAUAUUUGAAGUUUAAUUGUUUAUACAGGGAGAGGGAAAAAAAGAGUGUUAAUGCAACAUAUGUAAUUAUAUAAGGAAAUAAACUAAAUUAAUUUUUAGUGGCAACUUUUAAAAGAAAUUUUUUCUUCGUGCAUGUAAUGUUGUGUCGGAUCAAAAUGCCUAUAUAUAGAGGUAUGUUUGUAACCUUAUUACAACACACAAGAUCAAGAGUGAAAAGUAAUAAUACCAAUAUCCUUUCCUCUCUUUACCUGCAUCAUUUUUAUGAUACAGUUAUAAAAAUAAACAAUGUAAUACAUUACGCCCGUUCCACUUCUAUCUCUAGCAAAUGUUAUCUCACCUUGAUUUUUAUGCGGAGAAGCUGGGACAAAAGUUGGGAUUGUGACAAAAGAUUAAAACAAAAAAUGUGGGGAUGGGGUGGUGGGAGGAAGCUAUCACACCAUCAUGUACCUCACCUUGAUUUUUAUACCAACUUGUUUCUACAGCAUGCAUCCAAAAUCUUACUCGCUCGCUUCAUGUUAUCAAAGAUAUUCCAAUUCAUUAUUUGAAUCACCAACUGUUUAUGGGGUUUUUCCUAGGACUGAAUAUGCAUGUAUCAAAAGAAUUUUCCACACUUAUUUUAUGUUUAUCCUCCGGUUAUUUUGUUCUUAUCUCUUAAUUAUUCUUUGAUUAUUCAGUCCAGCGACUAGAAUAAGAAAGAUGAGAGCUAAGGAGGAAAAAAGAGUGAGGAAGUUAUUUUCCUAAUUAUAGCUAAUUUAUACUUUAAUGUAAUACAAAACCUUAUAAAAUGAAUCUUUUCUCCUCCACGAGAGUUCUCCUCUCUCUUUUGUGAGAGUCUCCCUCUCCUUCGUGAGAGUUCAUCUCUCCAUUGGUGAGAGAUCAGUUUGCUUCAUAUAGCCUCUGUUCGAGCAUGAAUUUCCCUGGAGAAGGCCCCUGGCUCGAGCACACAGCUCCCCGAGGAGUUGGCACUUUGGUUGGUUGUUGGGCUCCUGCUUGUUAAGAGGCUACAAGAGGAGGGCAAAGUUAGUUCUGAAAGGUGCCUCUCUUGGGCCUUAGGUGUAGGCCUUGAGGCUUGCAAUCAAAACUAACUAAGUGCUUAGACGUGCCACUACCAUCUCAGUAUGGCAGAUGUAGAACAAGUGUGUUUAAGUCGAUUACCUGUGCCCCAAGUUAUUCUGACUUCUUGUUAUCAAAGGAUUAUCGUAGAUGGGUUAAGUCUACAUUAAAUUCUUUUAUGUGCCUUGAGAUCAAGGACUUUUAUUAUCUUGUAUGCUUUAAAGGUUAGAAUUCCAGAUCUGACUAAGCUAUCGGUCUAGUUUCCGUUCAAUCUUUUAUAGCAGUAAAACUACUAAAUGAACCAGAUCUGAAUGCCAAUGGAACCUUUGAUCAUCAAAUGACUGGAAAUGACUUGAAUAUAUACUAGAUAGUAGAUCAUAAUACUAGAUCUACUAAUUGAAAGAUAAAACAAAGAGAGUUGGGCAAGAUUUCACCUUGUCGGGCAAGGGUGAACGUCCUGCAGUUUCUUCUCUUUGUGAUUACAGAGGUUUGUAUGUUAAAAAAGAUAAGUGGUAACAAUCUCUAACAUCCCACUUCUUUAAGAAUUUAGCAUUAAUUGGAUGCUUCUGUAAACUUCCCUCAAAAUCUGCUAAGUAAUAUCCCCCUUUGUCCAAUACUUGGUGAAUAAUGAAAGGACCUUCCCAAGUUUGGCUCCACUUCCCAAAACCUCUAACUUGAGCUCCCAAAGGGAGAAUUGUCUUCCAUACUAACUCUCAUUUUUUGAAGUUCUUCAACUUCACAUUUUUAUUGUAUGCUCGGGCAACAGCUUCUUUCCCCUCUUGAAUUUUAUUUAGAGCCUCAAUUCGGGCUAUAUCAAGAUCUUCAAUUCCUUGACACAUAGCUUGAAUAUACUCUUCACUGUGUAGCCUGAAUUGAUUUUGAAUUCUGACAGAACUUACAUUAAUCUCCAUAGGGAGCAUGACAUCUUGCCCAAAAGUUAAAGCAUAAGGAGUAGUUCCAGUUACUGCCAUCUUGAAAGUUCUGUAAGCCCACAAAGUAUCUCCUAACUUCUCAUGCCAUUUUUCUGGACUCUCGGCCACCGUUCUCUUAAUAAUUUUUACCAAAAUCUUAUUGCUGGCUUCUGCUUGGCUAUUUGACUAGGGGUAGUAAGGACUGGACUGAACUAUCUUUAUUUUGAACUUAUUCGCAAACUCCUUUACUUUUUUUGAAAUAAAAGAUGGCCUGCAGACUGUGACAAUUGUCUCAGGCACCCCAAAUCUGUGUAAGAUCUUGGUUUCAAUGAAUUUCUUGACUGCAAUUGAAGUGAUAGUAUUCAUAGUUGAAGCUUCUACCCACUUGGCGAAGUAAUCCGUCAUUACGAUUAUGAAUGUGUGUCAUUUGCUAGAGGCUGGGUGAAUUUGCCUGAUGAAGUCCAUUGCCCAUCCUCUGAAGGGCCAAGGCUUGACCACGAGGUUUAAGGGUACCGAGGGCACAUGUUGGAGAGGUCCAUAUCUCUGGCAUUCUUUACAUCCUUGGGUAUAAGCUUUGCAGUCCAUUUCCAUCUCGGGCUAGAAAUAGCCAUAUCUUCUGUGAAGGAAAAAUUUUUGUCCUAGCUAAGAACAAGUAUGAACAUUUGAAUACACAUGCAAGCUAUUAACACUUUAAAGUAGGCAUGCAUCCAAAAACAAUUCAUAAAACCCAUGACUUUCAAAGCCUAGUAUAUGGUGAACCAAAAUAAACUCUUUAACAACAUUAAAGAGAAGUAAAGAUUUAGUGAUUCUUUACCCUUGAAGCUCAUCCUUGUUUACACAAGGGAUUCACCCAAGUGGAGGGCCUUCAAGUCACCAAGCUCCUUGAAUCCUCCUUGUGUUUUCCUCCCUUUAGUGCUCCUUUGAUGAUUAGAGGAAAAAGGAUUUGUUCUCCAAAACAUCAAAAGCUUGAUGUCUCUAAGUCUCUUCACCAAGGUUGUAUAUUGUGAAGAUGAUAUGGAUGACUUAGAGAGAUUUUAGAUGCUAGUAAAAAUCCUCUAAGUGGCCGGCCUCUAUGUAGAAAAUGAGAGAAAAUGUUUCACCCAAUUUCUAUUAGAAAACCCUUAAUGAGAAAAUUGCUAUAAAGUUGCUUUUAUAACAUUUUCUUUGGUGAGUGGCAAACUUGUAAUUAAGCAAGCUUGCCCAUUCACCCUAAUGGCCGGCCUCUCCUUGUUAUUGGGCCAAUUUGCCCAUUUUGUUUUAGUUGUCAUACAACUUAAACAUAAUGGGCCUUGUGGACCAAAACACUUUUGGGCCCCGAAACCCAAAACCAACAUAUAAGCCCAAUACGAACCUUUCGUAUAAUUAAUUAACUAAUUAAUUAAUCUUGACCAUUCUUCAAUUAAACCAUUUAAUUGCUUAUCCAUUUCAUAUAAUUUCUUCACUAACAUCCUUAUGUGGUGUGCGAUCCAUUAGGUUCCAAUUAGCGAGGCAGUGGGCGAUGUUACUCUUAACGAUCGAUUGUGAAUUGAAACCACAUUUCAAUUCUCCCUUAAGAUUAGUGUUUGCUAAUCUUCAGGGCUUCCACAAACCAUGAGUGACACCUAGCAGCAUAUCAUGGUUACCCAAGCUAAGUAGAAUUGGUUGGAGAACCUAUCCAGUUACAACUACAAUGCAAUACGGUCCUUGUCUAAUACAAUACUCUCAAUCACAUUGUUUAAGUGAUAGUUUGUUUCAUGUCUACUAUCCAAUGUGAUACUUUCCUAUAUGAUUCCUUUGAAUAUGAUUCGGAACAAACUUCCUAAGUCAUAUUCAUAUGCUUUGGCCAAAGACUUUAGAAUCAUAUCUUAGAGUAUUCUCCUUCCACCAUGGAAGGUUAGAGAUCCCUUGUUGUGCAUUCAUAUGCCUACAUGACUAGAUAGCUUGACCCCAAAAAUGCCGUGGACAAUCCGAAGGAAUGCCGUUGACAUGAUCAAAGAUCAAGGACCUAACCAUUAGACAUCUAUGAUGCCUCAGGUCAAAGGACUACUUUGCAUAUUGCAACUUUAGAGUUCAUACAUGACAUGUAUGUUCGAACUCUCUUUUGAUCGACGUUCAGUGUACUCGAUUACCUUUUCGAGCACCUAUGUGUUUGUCUCAGUGUCCAACACCAAAUGACUUGAGACUAGUUCAUACUCACGAUUGAGUCAACAUAACAUAUACUAACCUUAGCGGAUUGUCAAUGCCCAAUUGGCAAUCCUAUGGCUAGGAACGUUUUAGGAAUGAACAUAAGAGAAAGGUCUCGAUAAUCUAACUCAUUAGAUCACUUAUCUCUUAGAACAAAUACAUUCCUUGGAUUCCCUUAUUGCUUAAACACAUGAUACAAUAAAUAGUGAUUAACAAUAAGCUUUGCCAUUCAUUAAACAUAUAAAAGUUUAAUACAAUAAGUAUUCCAAAAGCUAUUACAUCAAAUGAGUGGCUUUGUGGGCAUACUUCCAACAUUCUGAGCAACCACCUCAUUUUAUUUCUAGCUUGAUGUGCACCACAGAUUCCUUCAUGUACUUAAGCCAUUACCCUUAUGGAUUUCUUGGCCUAAACACUUUAGUAGGAAUCCAUAUGGAGUCUUUCUCAACAUGGUUUUAUCCCACACGACAUACUUAGUCACUUGUCGUCUAUUUUUCUUGCUUGUGGGGAAGGAUGGAUUGUUUAAAUACUGGAUAAUAGGCGUCCUCCAAUCCUCCAUCUUCAUUUCUUCAGUCAUUACAUCUAGGAUGAAUCCCCUUUCAAGGAUAGAAGGGAGAUUUCUUUUCUUAACUUCUAUAUUCCCUUCAAAGUUCCUUUCUUGGAUUGGUACUCCAGAAGCUAAUUGUGCCAUUUCAUUGGCAAUUAUAUUUGAUUCUCUAGGAUGUAGCUAACUGAUAUUUUCAUGCCCCAAUAACUCAACAACUGAGUGGCCGCUAAGUGAUAACCAACCAUAGUGAUGUGCCUGCAUUUGUUUUCUUUAUUUAACUGAUUGAUCACUAGUUCUGAAUCACCAAAUACCUCAACUCCAGUUGCCCCUAACUCUAUCAAGAUCUCCAGGCCAAUUAUCAAUGCCUCAUACUCUGCCCGAUUGUUGGUAAUCUCUUGAUAGUUUAGGAGGAAUGAGUAACAAUGGUGAGUACCUUUAGGAUCAAUGAUGACAAUCCUAGCUCCAACAACAUUCUGUGUGCAGGACCCAUCAAAAUACAAUUUCCAGGGAGUAAUCCAAAGGCUGGUUAUCCUUUUUAUCUCCUGUUGGAUCUAUUUUUCCUUGCCCGAGAAGGCUUUGUUUGGCGGGAUCCUUAUGCUGGCCACCUCCAGAGUUCCUAGGACGUUGAUAAUUUCUUCUUGGGACUCUUGAUGCUCAGUUAAGAAGUCUGCGAUUGCUUGUCCCUUGAUCACUUUUUGAGGCACGUAUUAGACACUAAACUCGGAUAGUGCUAGGAUCCAUUUUCCAAUCCUCCCAAUCAUCAUUGGUUUUGACAGCACGUAUUUGAUCACAUCUGUCUUGGCAAUAAUGUGGGUGUGGCAAGGUAACAUAUAAUGUCUUAACUUGCAGGCAGUGAGUUAUAGAGCCAAACACAACCACUCUACUGGAGUAUAUCACGUUUUUACCUCAAUAAGGAUUCUGCUGAGGUAAUAUAUGGCAUGUUCCCUUCCACCUUCAUUAUUUUGAGCCAACAAGCUUCCUAUUGACUUCUCAGAGGCGGAAAUAUAAAGCUUUAAAGGUUUCCUUCUUUGAGGAGGCAUGAUCACUGGUGGAGAAGGCAAAAAGCUUUUAUUCUGUCAAAAGCCUCUUGGUGGGAUGGGCCCCACUCAAAUUCUUCCUUAUCCUUCAAUUUUAACAAAGGAGUUAGUGGCUGAAUCUUGCCCACCAAGUUAGCAAUGAAUCUCCUCAAGAAAUUGAUCUUUCCCUGUAACCUUUGCAAUUACACUUUAUUGGUGGGAGAAGGUGUUUCCAUUAUUGCUCGAGCUUUAUUUUUGUCGACCUCAACUCCCCUUUGGUGAACAAGGAAUCCCAAAAGUUGCCCGAUCUUACCCCAAAAGCACAUUUCUUAGGGUUCAUUUUUAAUUUAUGGAUCCUCAUUCUUGUCAAGGCUUGCCUGAGGUCUAUUAAGUGUUGCUUUUCAGUUUUAGACUUCACCAUAAUGUCGUCAAUGUAUACUUCCAUGCUAUGGCCGAUUAAGUCAUGAAAAAUGGCAUUCAUUGCUCUUUGAUAGGUUGCACCGGCAUUCUUGAGCCCGAAUAACAUUACCAAGUACACAUAUGCUCCGACAUGACCUGGGCACUUAAAAGCUGUCUUAUGUAUAUCUUGUUUAGCCAUUUUUAUCUAAACUAGCAUUCUUAUCCAUGAAAGAUAGAACUUUGUGUUUGGCAAUUGCAUCUAUGGAUAAAUCAGCCAUGGGCAUGAGAUAUUCAUCUUUAGGUGUGGCUCAAUUAAUGUUUCUAUAGUCAACACAACAUCGAAUUACUUUAGUUAUAGCUUUUAAUACAGGUACAAUGUUGGCCAACCACUCGACAUAUUUGGCAGGCCUAAUAAAUCCAGCCUUCACCAGCCUCUCGAUCUUUUCUUUGACCUUUUCUUCGAUUUCUUUUGACAUCCUCCAUGAUGCUUGCUUGAUAGGUUUAAAUCCCUCAUUAAUAGGCAUUCUAUGUUCUACUAAGGUUAGAUCUAAAUCUGGCAUUUUGGUGUAAUGCCAAGCAAAACAGUCAUUGAAUUCGUGCAAAAUGCUGAUAAUCCUUGCCCAAUCCUCGGUUUCCAACAAAACACUGAUCUGUAUAGGCCUCAAAUCCUCCUUAGUUCCCAAACCAAUGGUCUCCAAGGGGUCUUGUACUUUAAGGGACGGCUUGUCAGGUUCUGCACACAAAAAUUCAACCAACUCUGGAUUUUCGGGCAAAUCAUCUGGCUCAUUCAGAUGAGGGAAAUUUUGUGAAAAACAUGUUCAUUUGAGCAACAUCUAUGACAUGCAAUUAACAAUUAAAGGCGGAAUCAUACUUGUAUGCACUCAAAAACAAAACAUUACCCAUGAAAUUCAAAGCCUAGUAGUUAUGUGAACCAAGACUCAACUCAAGAACAAAAUGAGUUGAUAAAUUUUAUACCUUUGAAGCACCUCUUUGCUUAGCAAAGGUUAAUCACCCAUGUGAGGGCCUUUUUUCCUUUAUCACCUUACUCCUUGGCUCCAUGGAUAUGGAUGGAGGAACUUUGCUUCUUGGCUCCAUGCCUUCUUGGAUAUAGAUGGAAGAAUUGGUUUCUCCAAAAGUCCCCAAAGUUGGAGACCUCUAAGUUCCAACACCAAGGAUGGUUGAGGAAGAAGAUGAGUGGGCAUGGAAGAGUUAGAUGCUAGUAAACUCUCCCACGGUGGCCGGCUAUUCUAGAGAGAAAAGAGAGAGAGUUUUUCUCACUAUUCAUCCUUAGAAAACCCUAAUGAGGAUGGAGCAAAGAUACCCCCUCCUAUGCUUUCAACUUUUGUUACAUUUUGGACCAAAAAGCCCUUCCUCUCUCUAUGGCUGGUUUUCCCAAGCCUUUGGGCUGUUUUGGGCUUCUUGAAUUUUGUUUGUUAAGUUGUCAUACAACUUAAGCUAAUGGGCUUGACGAUUCGAAGCCCAAUUUGGGCUUUAAGGCCCAAAACUAACUCGAGGUUUAAAAUGAACUUAUUUGUUUGAUUAAUUAACAUAUUAAUUAAUUCUUGCCAUAAACAAUUAAACCAUUCAAUUUUCCUUACUCAUCUCCGUCAAAUCCUUCAAGCAUUACCUUACACGGUGUGCGAUCCAUUAGGUUCCUUUUAGUGAAGCAGUGGGCGAUUAGAACUCUUUCAAAUCGAUUAUGAAUUGAAACUUACUUUCAAUUCUCCCUUUAGUGAUUAUACACGUUUAGGGCUUCCACAAACCAUGAGUGACACCUAGCAGUAUGUCAUGGUUACCCAAGCUAAUCAGAAGAGGUGGAGAACCUAUUCAGUUUAGGAUUACAAUGCAAUACGGUGUUUCUCUAAUACAAUACUCUUGACCACAUUGUUUGGUUUGAUAGUUUAUUCAUGUCUACUAUCCAAUGUGAUUCAUUUACUUCUUUGAUUACCUUGAAUGUGAUUUGGAACAACUUCCUAAAUCUCAUUCAUACUCUCGCCAGAGAUUCUUAAUCAUAUCAUAGAGUAUUCUCCCUCAAACAGUUUGACGGUUAGAGAUCCCUUGUUGCGCAUUCACUUGCCUCCAUAGCUAAGUGGCUUAACCCCAACUAUGUCGUGGACACCCUCAGAUGGAGUGGCUUUGACAUAGUCAAAGAUCAAGGACCUAACCACAAGACAACUAUGAUGCCUCAGGUCAAAGGACUACUUUGCAUUAUCCCAACCAUGAGUUCUCAUGUGACAUGAGUAUGAGAACUCCUUGUUGAUCGUGUUCAGUGAACUCAUUCUCUAUUAAGCACCUACGUACUUGUCUUGGUGUCAGUCACACCAAUGACUCAAGACCAGUCACUCUUCCUAAAAGAAGACAUAGCACGUACUGAUCUUAACGAACUAUCAAUGCCUAAUUGGCAAUCCUAUGAUCAGGAACGUUUAGGAUAUGUAUACGAAAGAGAAUGGUCUCAUGAAUCUAACUUUUUUAGAUCACAUUCUCCCAAUUACAUGUUCCGUGGACUUAUCGUUUAUAUGAGACGGCUUCAAACAAUAAUCUUUGCCCUUUAAAUUAAACUAUAUUAGUUUAACAUGUGAAAUGUCCGUAAAGUAUCAUCAUUUGAUUGAUUUUAGGGCAUAUUUCCAACACCAGAUCAUAUAUGCAGUCAACCAUCUGUAUGGCUGCUUCUAACUCAAAACACUCAUCUUCUAUUCUGUUGCUUGAGGCUUCUUCUUCCUAUUCAUUUUUUCCUUGGUUGAACUAUCCCUCUUUUGCAACCACUUGGUCCUUUCUUUUCUGUUUUGACAUUACUGAUGUUGGGGAGUUGGGAUGAUAUGGGGCUGAUCCCAUUCUUCCCUUGUAAGAGAUAACCCUUGCUCUAGAAGCUUCUGGGCUGUCACCUUGGUCGGGAGGCCGUUCUUAUCAGCUCCUGAACAUUGAAGAAUCCCAACGCUGGGAUUGUAGAAAUUGACUUCUGCCACGUUGGCUAUAGGGAGGAAUGGCCUUAAUUCGGCCUAUAUUAUCUCUCAAAAUCCAGGUUUUGCUUCCCCUUCUUCAUGGUAAACAGCCACUUAUUGGUGUAAGGUAGAUGGCAUAGAGAAACUCUGAUAAAUCCAAUCUCUGCCUAGUAAAGCUCCGUAAGUGGAAGUACUGUAAAAAAUAGAAAAGGCCAUCAUGAUUUGUUUAGAACUGAAGUCAACUUCUAAUGGUAGUAUCUUAUGAGUCCUAGUAAUGGCUCCUGAGAAACUGGAAGCUGUAAGAUCAGUGAUGAUGAGAUCAUCCUCACUUUUGCACAUUCUCUUCAUCUGCUUGUAAGGCAGUACGUUGACCAUAGAUCCAUAAUCAAUCAAAACCCUCUUGAAGGGUAUUCCUUCUAAAUAGGCAGUUAUGUAUAUGGGUUUGAGAUGGUUGGCCAUGGCCAAACUUGGGCGGCUGAAGAUCAUCCUAUAUAUAUAUAUAUAUAUAUAUCCUUUCGGGCUCCCUCCUUGCUAGUUCAAGCACAUCCGUUUUACUUGAUUCCCUUUUCCCUGUCUCUUCAACACUAACAUGUGACAUCAGGGGCUCUGUUGCCAAGUAGUCACCCUCCAUCGUGAUAGGUUGAUCGUGCUUGGGACAAAACAUGGUGGAUAAAACACAUGUCAUGUUUACGUGGAAGUUGCUGGGUCCAGGUAAGUCUUUCUCCUUGGCUCGGAUAUGCUUUGCGAACUCAUCCAACUAAUCAUGUGCUUCUUUUGGUAGCACUAGUUCGGGCAAACCUCCCUUUUGAGUUAUGCCAAAAUUCUACACUUGGUCUAUAUCUUCACAAAGGGUAUCAACCAGCGAUGGUGAGGGUAUCCCUCUCUCGGGCGAGAUAGUUCCAAGACAGAUUGGCUCCAGGCUCUAUCUCGGGGUCGGUAUCAUCAUCAUAUCCUUUUGAGCCAUUCUCAGAAUUUUAUAUUUCCUAGGAUGGGGGCACUGCGGCGCAUGGUCUCCUUCCCCUUCGGUCUUGCUAUUAGCAUUCUCCACUUCCUUCUUGGUUUUCCAAUGAAGUUGAUUCCUUCCCCCAUAGGGUACCUUCUCAAACUUUUCAUUCUCAGAGGUUUCUGAGGCAAUGGGGACGUUCAAUGAGUUUAUAUGCCUUUAUGUUGCCUUUGGACUCUUUUAAACAUGGAGGCUUCUAUUUCCUUAACGGGUUUCCCAUCAUUUCUAACCAAGUUGGGCAGGAUUCUUCUUUGUAACUGGAUUCAUGGUUCUCCCUUUUACUCUAACAUUUCCACCGACAUAGCUUGGUUGGGAUGGCUUCACAUCCACCUAUCUUGGCACCUUGGCCUCUUUGUCAUCUACCUCUUCAGAAGCUUCAUAAUUUCUAAAUACUUUUGAUAAGCCCCUUGGUUGAGAAUCUCCUCCCAACCUUUGGAAAACAUUCUUAAAGGUCUUUCUUUUAGCUACCCAUAUAACAUUUUUACGGGCCUCUUGCUUUUCUUUGCUCUUCCCUUGAACAGCUUUUGAUCAAUAAUGUCUCAUGACGUUGGGACUUCCUGUUCACACUCACAUUGGCAUCUACUACAUAAUACUACUCCUUUGAUUAUGGUCACCUUAGGUUUCUCAAGUAACUUGAUGGCUCAGUUGGCCUGUCAAUUUGCCUCCAUUCUGUUUUCACCUUCCAUGUAGCUUUUCCUUUUCCCUUCUCAGCCUACGUCAAGUUGAUCAUGUUUAUUGGGGCCUUUGGAAAAGGAUCAGUAUCAACCAUUAUAUUAGCAUGCAGUUUUUCCAGCAACAGUUUUCCUUUGAUAAUGAGAUCUUGUAUCCAAUCUAUAAACUGGACACAGUUGGUUAUGGAGUGAUUGAAAGCGUAAUGCAACUUGCAAUACUUUUUCUCUCUCAGUUAUUCAGGGUUGGGCAACUUUUUGGCAUUGUCGGGCAUGAUUACUUUUGCACUAACCAGCUCCUCAUAGAUUUUUGUUGCCUUGGUUAGAUCAAAAGAAUAGCUUUGAUAAUUGGGGGGGGGGGUUUCAUUGGUACGAAUCCACCAUCAUUCAUGACCAUUUUCUGGUCUUUAACUGGAUGGACUAAUCCCUUUACUGUCAAAGGCUUGAAGAGAAUGGUCAUCUCUGCUGCACACAUAUCAAUUUCAUCUCUUCCACAACCAUCAUUUUCUUCCGGCUCCAUCCUUUCGAACUUCAUUUGAUGAAUAAUAGCCUUGUUUUUAUAGAAUAGGGGUACUUUGGAGGAAUGCUUUGCUUGUUGUUUUUCAAUCAACAAUCUUUCAUACUUGGUGGCAGCAAUCACUAAUUCUUGCAAUUGAUUAAACUACACAUCAUAAAACUUCAUCCUCAAGGGUAACCUUAAGGCCUUUUAAGCAAUAGCUAUAAGUUGGGCAUGGUUGAUAGAAAACUGUCAUCUCAUCCUUGUCUUCCUAAACCUCAUCAUGAAGUCUUCAGUAAAUUCAUGCUCGUACUGCUUUACCUCAACCAGAUCGUUGAUGGUCAUCUCUGGCUCAAUCCUGUAAAACUGCUCAUGGAAAGCUAUCUCAAUUUGCCCCCAGUUAGCAAUAGAAUUUAGAGUCAAAAGAGAAUACCACUGAGAUGCUAACCCCGUCAAUGAAUUGCCAAACAACCUUAACUUAUAGUUAGGAUUAUCUUCAAAUGCCACACAAUGGUUGGAGAAUUUGAAGAUAUAGUCCUUGGAGGACACAUUGUUAUCUUACCUGUUGAAUGUUGAGAAUGUGAGCAUCUUGAAGUUAGGAGGAAAAGGAUUCUGCUCAUCAAUGAACUCUGGGUAGGGCUUCUGAUAGGUAACCUUCUGUUGGAAAUGUGCCCUAAAACCAAUCAUAUGAUGAUACUUUACGGACAUUUCACAAGUUAAACUAAUGUAGUUUAAAUAUAAAGGGCAAAGAUUAUUGUUUUAAACCAUCUCAUAUAAAUGUUAGAUGCUUAAACGAUAAGUCCAAGGAAUAUGUGAUUGAGAUAAUGCAAUCUAAAGAAGUUAGAUUCAAGAGACCAUUCUUUCGUAGACACAUCCUAAACGUUCCUGAUCAUAGGAUUGCCAAUUGGGCAUUGACAGUCCGUUAAGAUCAGUACAUGCUGUGUCUUCUCUCAGGGAAAGUGACUAGUCUCAAGUCAUUGGUGCGUGUGACAUCAAGACAAGUACGUAGGUGCUCAAUAGAGAAUGAGUUCACUGAACACGAUCAACG